rnacentral:lncRNA from 1 species
UUUGAACUAAAAGCGCCGUGCGUACAUGAAGCCCUUAAUUAUUGAAAUGGCAAAUGUUUAGCCCGCUUUAAAAAUGUAAGUAGUAGUAAUUUAAUUGCAAGUUUCGAACGUCCCAGAACAACAAACGGAUCAAAACAGAGCAAUACACAAGCAAGCGCACGUUUAGGCGAAAAUUCAGUAGUCUAGUUUAUGUUCACCGUUUAUAUUUGCCUCCAUACUUCGUUCUCAGAGCGCCUGCUCAACUAAUGCGAUCAAAAUUGUGUUGCUACGAAAUAUACACAUGCUAAAUCUCUGAACCGACUUCCCGCAAAACAAAACAAAAAACUCUGCGCCGACCUUAUGCCAUCUUCAUCUUCCGCGCCAAGCCACUGAAGCAAGCAGCCUCCGUCCGAUAUGGAUCUGACGGCCUUCCGCUUUGUCGUCCGCUGAUGCCGUCCCGCCAGGCUGGCGACAUCACUUCCCACCUUCCUUGUUCUGUUCCCGCUGGUUCCAGAAUUGCCGGAGCUUCUCCAGAAUCGAGUUCGCCCCCGGAUUUUUGUUGUAGCCACGACCGAUGGGUCGAUCCAUUCUGUUGGUUUACUCGCAUUCAGGAAUGGCGGUCAGAUCCGGGGCGAACCUCGGCUGCAUCCUCCCGGCGCUCUUUACGCGCGCCACCGGCCGCCUCUUCACUACCAGCGUCGGCACGGUCUUGUAGGCAAGAGUCUCGUCCACCUCCGGCGGCGGGGCGAACACGAGCGGCGAAACAGAGCCGGCGCGUCUCCUCCGUCCGCCGCUACCAGACGCGUUGGUGUUGGCCUUGCUGACGAGCGCCGCGGACGCUCUGACGGCGAGAGCGGCCACGUCCUCGCGGCGGAGCCCGUUCCUCUUAACCUCGGCGGGGAGCACGAAGUAGAUCUGUCCCGGGCGGAGUUCCUCGCCCCCGCCUACGGCCGCCACGGGACCCUCGAACCCCAUCACGUCGGCGUCGCACAGGAACCACCCGGCGGAGCCGUCUCCUGCCUCCACGGAGUCCUGGAGGGCUUGCGCCACCGUCGCCGGGCGCGGGUACUCGCGCAGCUCCCCCGUUGGCAGCAGCACCAUCGCCGUCGAGGCGGCCAGCCCCUCCGAGCGCACCGCCGCCACCGCCGCCCCGCCGCUAGACAUGCAGAGCCCCAUUGCCGCGACGUGUUAGUGUAUAUUUGAUGGUCGAGCUGGUGCCGUUGUGAACCGUAUGUAUGAUAUGAUAUUGUUGUCGUUGCUGCUGGAGUAUGUGAGGGGAGGAAUGGUGAGACUGAGAUGGCGAUGGAGUUGGGGGAGAGGGAGCGCUGGUUAUAUAGGAUAGGAGGAGGCGAGGAGGGAGAAGGGGUGGGUUUGUCGCGCAGCUUGGGGAAGAAGGAGCACGACAGGCUGGCGUUUGGCUGGGGCCAGCGUGCGUGCUUGGGCUCCGGAUAUUUUGUUUUUUCUCGAUUAUUAUUUUUAGAUUUUGUUUUUACUGCGGCUUUUUUUUUGGAAUAUUGCCGCAUUUAUUUAAUCAAACGCAUUCGGAAUGUCAUCCGAGAUUACAUCAAGCACACAAUCUGGGGUGACCCCCAACCAAACAUUGCAAAGUUCAUCUCCUACCCCUAUCUUAGCAAGUCUAUGAGCGACAACAUUCGCGGAACGACGAACCCAAGUGACUUUGGAGCUAACGAGCGAAGAAAGCAGCGUCUUCAGCUCUUGAAUCAACGGGCCAGUGGCUGACAUCUCCUUGUGCUGAUUAUUGAGCAUCUUAACUACUCUUUGCGAAUCCAGUUCCACAUGUAUCCUGUCGGCCUGUAUUUCCUGCGCCAAAACAAGGCCUCUCUUGCAUGCAAGAAUCUCUAACACUUCAGGGUCGACCAUGCCCCGGAACAGGUGGCACAGCCCGGCACGAAAGGCCCCAUUCUCAUCCCUUAUCACAGCACCAGCACCCCCCUUGCUCCCUGACCGAGCAACUGCCCCAUCUGAGUUGAGUUUAAGCCACCCCUCCUCUUGAGGCUUCCACUUUUGCUUGAUCUGUUGCUCUCUCGGGGGCUUGUUGUUGUCAUGGACAGCUCUCCAUUCAGCCAUGUGUGUGACCACGCAUUCUAUGAUUUCAUGUGGCGGGGCCAUGCGCUUGCCUUCUCUGGUUUCAUUCCUUGCUAGCCAAAGCUCGUAGGUAGCCUGAAUCAUUGCUCCCCGCUCGUCGUCAGACGCGCCGGCGAACCAUCCCAGGAGCCAGCGAGCCAAAGCACUCUGGGAGUCGAUCGGACACGGUGGUUUGGCCACCAUAACUCCCUUUUCCGAGUACAACAGCUGCCAGAACAAUGCGGAGUGCGGACAGGACCAGAACCGGUGUAGCACCGUUUCUUCCCUCCCACACGCCGCACAAAAAAUCCCCGGCUUGAUUCUCCGUCGGUGCAAUUCGGCUCCCACCGCCAGUCCAUUUCGAAUCAGCCUCCACAUGUGAAUUUUGGCCUUAGGUGGUGCAUUGGUAUCCCAUAACGCCAUGUAUCCUUUAUGCUUUUCAACUGAACUCGAGGACUCCGGCCGUCCGGUCCUCGCAUUAUCCAAUGCCUUCCGCAAAUGAUACCCAGAUUUCACCGAGUAGACACCGUUGGACGUGAAGUUCCAAGCGAGAUAGUCCUCACAGCUCGGACCCCCCGAUCGCUAUUUGCUGUAUAUCUUUGCCGUCAUCCUCCGAAAACAUCAGCUGUCCUCUCCAUAUCCCAGCUACACCCAUCUGGUGUGAGCAAAUGAGCUACCUUGGUUGUACCUGUAACAAACACUUGUCCAAGAGGUUUCAUGCUACCUGCUCGUGGGAUCCAAUUAUCAUGAUGUAUGUUUACCCCAGUGCCAUUCCCAAUGCGCCAAAUGAGCCCCUCCCUUAGCAGGUCCCUCCCCUAGAGAAUGCUACGAAAAGUGAAAGAGGCCGACGCCGGUGCUGUAGCGGACAUGAUGGAGUCUACACUGUAGUAACGAGCCUUGAGCACACGUGCACACAAAGAGUUAGGCUGCUGGAUGAGCCUCCAUGCUUGUUUGGCUAACAACGCUUGAUUGAAAGCCUCUGGAUCUCGAAAACCCAUUCCUCCUUCCCUCUUCGAAGCACACAUUUUCUGCCAUGCAAUCCAAUGUACCUUGCGUUCACCAUGUGUUGCCGCCCACCAGAAUUUAGAGGAAAUUGAUGUCAAGUUCCGGCAUAUUUUCUUCGUGAGCUGGAAACAACUCAUGGUGAAUGUGGGUACAGCUUGAAGCCCCGAUUUGAUUAGCACUUCCCUUGCUGCCUUUGACAAACCCUGCCCCUUCACUCCAUCCACUUUGCCCUUCGCACUUUCAGUCACAUAUUUGAAGGUCCCAUCUUUGGAUUUCCCAACCAGUGUUGGGAGCCCAAGAUACUUCUCACUUAAUGCUUCCGACUGAACGCCCAAGGUGUCCUUCAACUCCUGCUUGUCCUCCUUUUGCUGCCCUUUACCAAAGAAAAUCGACGACUUCUCCAAGUUGACACGUUGGCCCGAAGCCUUCUCAUAUUGCCUCAAGAUCUCUUUCAGCUUUUCCAUAUUACUCCGUGUCCCCUCAAGGAAGACUAUGCUAUCAUCCGCAAAAAGAAGGUGCGUGACAUGGGGGCCAGUGCUCCCGAAAGUCACACCCUUGACCUCCCUCUCCUGUUUUUACUGCGGCUAUCUGGUGUGGUGUGGGAGGAGUAGCGUGCACGUACGUGGUGAAUACUCCGUACUGACCCGGCAGACGGCGGCAAGAAAACUGGAGCACUGCUCCUGCAUAUGUCGUGAAACCGCGGUAGUUACUGAUAGCUCAAUGCACAGUUCGUGCUCAAAGACUCACGCGCUUCAUGUGCCGAUAUAACUGUAAAUUAUUGGCAACCUGAGCACGCACUGCAACACAAGACGAAAACACAUUCCUGUUGGAGCAGCACUGAAAUCAGAUUGACCAAAUCACACUGUCAAUUAUUUAUAGAUUUUGUUUUGCGGGUGACAAUUAUUUAUAGUUGUAUAUAUAGGGUGUUAUAAAACCACGUGUUAUAGCAAUUCGUCGUAUGCGGCUACAAUCAAAAUACUACAAACAUCUUACUCAUGUAACUCAGACAUCUUAAUCAGCAAACAAGCUGCACAACCAGACAUGUUUGCUACUUAGAGUUUCCUUCUCAACUUACUGGCGUCGCCCUCCGCACCAGGUGGCUAUGGCUGCACCGAACCGACCCUAACCGCUCCUGGAAGCAUCUCCACCUCCCGACCGAUCACGAGGCCUCUGUGCUCUUCCGUGCUUCCACGACCUGGACCAUCGACAAUGGCAACACCUGCAAGUUCUGGCAGGAUCACUGGCUCAACGGGCGCUCCAUCCCCGAGAUUGCUCCUACCCUUUCUGCCCUCAUCCCGAGGCGCCGCCGAAGCCAACGCCUUGUCAGCGACGCUCUCAACAACAGAGGCUGGAUCGCCGACAUCCACGGCACCUAACACCCCGCGCGGUCAUCGAAUAUGUCGAGCUAUGGAGGCUACUCCAAACUAUCCAGCUCUUCAACGAACCCGACAAGCUCUCCUGAAAAUGGACAGCCGAUGGGAGCUACUCCGCGCGUUCAGCCUACCACGCAUUGUUCAUCGGUGCCACCACCGCACCAGUCUGGCGGCCCGUCUGGAAGACUUGGGCUCCUUCCAAUGCGAAGAUCUUCCUCUGGCUUGCCUGUCUCAACAGAUGCUGGACCGCCGACCGGAGAGCGCGCCACAACCUUCCUCAUGACCCCAUUUGCAAGUUGUGCAGCCAAGACAACGAGACACUGCACCACCUCCUUGUCGGCUGCGUCUUCUCGCGCAUCAUUUGGCACGACAUCAUGGCAUGGUGCCGCAUUCCCGCCCUUCCCCCUGAUGGCGCUUCCAGCUUCUUCGGCUGGUGGAUGGCAACGACGGCCAGCGUGCGAGCCUGCCUCCGCAAAGGGACGAACUCCAUCAUCAUCCUCACCUCUUGGGCACUUUGGAAGCAUCGCAACGCAGCUCUCUUCGACAAUGCUGCACCCUCCUACAACAAACUUGUCGAGGACAUAAAACAGGAGGCGAAACUCUGGGCAAGAGCCGGCGCCAAAGGGCUCGGUAGGAUCAUUUCUGUAACAUAAGAUGUAAACUAUGAGGCUGAGCAUCCUCCCUCCCUCGCUGCUUAACUAGCGCCUAGGCCCGCCAUCUCAUGUGUACGAGGCCUAAGACGCUCACCCUUGUACUCUUCCCCAACCUAUCAAUGGAAUGAUACGCAACUUCCGUAUUCGGGAUAAACUUACCAAGAAAUCUUAACAUGCAAGAAAAAAACUUACCAUGCAAGUUUUCUUCCUCACCAAGAAAUCUUGCACAUCAAGUUCAAUAAGCGAAGUAAACUUACUUGUUUUUGCCCUGGUCCUUGGUAGUAAGAUUUUCAAUGAGACAUGGCCUUUAAUUGUUGAGGUUUUUAUUUUGCCAUAAAGACUACAAGAUCAGAUUCCUUCGAGUUUUCCUCCAGACCGAACGCACCUUAAUUAAGGACGCUAGUACCCGGGCCCCGGUGAACGUUCGCUGGCACGUAUGACCUCCGCGAACCUGCCGGGUGGCAUUUUUAGUAUUAGGGGUCGUGGCAGUUUUCAGAAGAAAAAACAUGGCAGUUGUUUAUUUUUAGUGCAAUUUCCCUCAAUAAUUGUCAUUCUUUGGCCANNNNNNNNNNNNNNNNNNNNNNNNNNNNNNNNNNNNNNNNNNNNNNNNNNNNNNNNNNNNNNNNNNNNNNNNNNNNNNNNNNNNNNNNNNNNNNNNNNNNNNNNNNNNNNNNNNNNNNNNNNNNNNNNNNNNNNNNNNNNNNNNNNNNNNNNNNNNNNNNNNNNNNNNNNNNNNNNNNNNNNNNNNNNNNNNNNNNNNNNNNNNNNNNNNNNNNNNNNNNNNNNNNNNNNNNNNNNNNNNNNNNNNNNNNNNNNNNNNNNNNNNNNNNNNNNNNNNNNNNNNNNNNNNNNNNNNNNNNNNNNNNNNNNNNNNNNNNNNNNNNNNNNNNNNNNNNNNNNNNNNNNNNNNNNNNNNNNNNNNNNNNNNNNNNNNNNNNNNNNNNNNNNNNNNNNNNNGUUCGCGAGAUAUCAAAUUAAUUCAUCGUGGCAUAAAAAGGUAAAUAGUAAUGCCAUUAUUGUCUCUUUCCGAAAUAGAUCAUAGAACAUUUUAUUCACGAAAUCAAGGAGGUCACAUCGAUUAAAUCAAACAUAUUUGGAGAUGAAACUACGAAUAUAUAAGGAGCUUUGACUUCCCAUAUUAUUUCACCAGAGAAAUGCAAGGAUCUGACAUAUUUAAAAAGGCAAUGACAUCAACAAAUCAAAUCAAAUAUGUCUGGAUCGAUGGAUCAACCAAAUUAUUUGUGUCUUCAAAGAUAUUUUUUAGGUGGAACAAACUAUUGUCACUGCAUUCUGGAGCUUUGUGUUUUAAAACAACUCAAUUUGAUUGGAAACCGAAUGCAAUAAUUCAAAAUUGUAUGUGAUAUUCCAUUUUUUGAAUUUUUUAUCAACCUUGCAUACACCAUGGUGCGUAUAUACAAGUUUAAGUACAUACUUUUUUCACUUAAUGCUUGAUGUGGUAACAGUUAUGAAAAAAAUACAUGUUGUUAAUGGGAGUCGUUCCAAAAAAACAAAACCAUUAUUGUCUAUUUAGUACUUUUAUACCUCUCAAAAGGUAAGAGAUCACUAUGGGCCUUGGAUGAAACAAUAUGAAUGGCUCAAAUCUAGCAACCCUGUGAAGCAAGAUUGAUUAUAGGGCAAGAAAUUGAUGGUUAUAGCCUUCGAUGGGGGAGUUUUGGAAUACAUUGUGUUUGUUUUUAAGUUGCUCACCACAUGGGCCAUACGAUUUGAAAUCAGGGACGUAGCUGGCAUGUAGGCAUUGGGGUCAAUUGACCCCAAUGAAAUUGCUAAAUCCUUCAUUAACUUAGUAAUGAUCACUCGUGAUUUAUAGAAGAUGACCCCAUUGCCAUGGAUAUGACCCCAUCAAGCUUUUUUUCUAGCGUUGUCCCUGUUUGAAAUACAUAGUUUUGUGGGAAUAACUAAUCAUAUUUGGGUGUAUGUGCUGAAUAACAUGCUUUAAGCUAGUAGGCAAUCCAUGUGGAAAAUUUACUAAGGUGCUCCUCUUUAAUGAAGUAACCAACAAUUUGCAACUUGUCGACAUUCAGUUGAAAGGAAGAAAAAUCACUUGGUGUAAUAUGCAGAAAUCCCAUCUCCAUGAGAAACUGGACAGGUUUUUUACUUCUCCUAGUUCAGUUAACUACUCUAACUGCAGUGGUCUUUCCAUUGUUUUUCCUGCGAAAAAACUUUCAAACUAUUCAUCUUCAAUCAUGGCAGUACAACGAACACCAGAAAAUAAUAAAAUUACGUCUAGAUCCGCAUACCACCUAACGACAACUAUAGGCACUGAAGCCAGCCGAAGGCGCGCCGCCGUCAUCACCCCUCCCUCGUCAGAGCCGGACAAAACUUGUUGUAGUAAACAGUUGGGAAGUCAUCAUGCUAAGGCCCCAUAGGACCAGUGCACCAACAGAAACUGACGCCGUUGAAGAGUAGCGUAAAUCGAAAGGAUCCAUCCUGGAAACACAACAACGUAGACGAACUACGAACAGAUCCCAGCAAAUCCAUCAAGGACAAAUCCGCCGGAGGCACACCUCCACAUGCCCACCGGCGAUGCUAGACGCAUCACCGGGAUAGGGGCUAGGCGGGAAGAACUUUAUUCCAUCUUCAGGGAGCCGCCACCAUCUCGUCUUUCUGAGCAGGACACAAACUCUAACAAAACUCGAAGGAACAUCUAAAAACGACGCCCAAAAAUGGGGCCUCAUCGCCUGCAAGCUUUAGAAGGGCCGGGAUCCACCGCACUGCCAUACCCCUAACGCCACCGGAGACGAGGCGGACCAGCGACGCCGACGGGAGGCAGAGAAACCCUAGUAUUAUUUUUGUCGAGUUGAUUUGUAGGCCUCAUCGCCUGCAAGCUUUAGAAGCUCCGUUUACUUCCGAUGAGAUUGAUGAUGCCAUAAAGUAUCUUCCUUCUAAUAAGUCGCUUGUCCCCGAGGGCUUUCACACAUGUAUUAUGAAGGACCUCUAUGAUUUAUGUUCUCAAUUCCAUGAAGGUUCUCACCCACAAAAAAACCAUGAAGGUUCUCUCUGUAUUCAAAGCAUCAAUGCAUUUCUCAUCACUCUCAUUCCUAAAGUUAACGGGCUACCAGGCUGAAUGAUUUUAGGCCUAUGUCAUUGCUAAACUGUAACCUAAAUCUCACUACCAAAUUAUUGGCAAAUAGACUGUAGGAAGUUAUUUUCUAGUAGGUACUUCCUCUGUAAAUAAUAUAAGACGUUUUAGAUCACUACUUUAGUUAGAUAUAAGGCAUUGUAUUAGUUUACAAAGGGAGUACAUGUUAAUCAACAUGUUUUUAUCAAAUAUAGGGCCAUCGAUAAUUCCUUCUGAGAAAUGAUGGAGCCAAGCCUAAAUGGAAGGAUUCAUUGCCCUGAAGAUUUUAUCAUUUCUGACAGACCAGAUGCCCCAACAGCCUACAAUGAUAAUGUCCGUAGCAAUCUCAUGAGGUAGCUUGUCUACUGUGAGACUGAUUUCAUCAUAUUGUGAGAUGCCUCUAUGUUUGUCAGGGAUAAUCUGGUGCCAGCAUUCUGAGGAAAAGUUACAGUUUCAAAAGAGGUGCAUCAUUGUUUGCUCAAUCUUUUCAUUGUAGAGUGCACAAUUAUAAUCUGGUAAAUGCAUUGAUUUUCUGUGGAGUAAAUUUCUGGUGUUCACUCUGUCAUACACUAGCAGCCAAGUAAGGAUCUUAUGCCUGAGUUGUGCAGAGCUUUUCCAUAUCCAUUUGAAAAUCAAAUGGGCAUUACUGGGACCCAUCAUUGCCGUGUACAUCUUUAUGAAAGAAUAACUGGCCGAAUUGCAUUGAUAUAUCCAAACAUCUUGACUUGACUGAGUAGAAUAACUUUGCAAAGUGUCUUUGAAAACUGUGAAUUGCUGGUAUUCCUGGGUGGAUAAUGGCCCAUGGAAGAGAUCUUCCAGAUUGUUGAGAGCCAGAACUUGUUGUAAAGAGCAUUCAGUGUUGAUGCAGAAUGAGUAAAGUUCUGGGUAUCCCAUGCCGAGGCUUUGAUCAUUCCAUCUGUCAGCGCAAAAGAGGAUAGUAUUGCCAUUGGCAGGGUGGCAUCUUGAUAUGAUUUGAAAGUGGGCAUGAGUUUGAUGACAUCUCUCCACCAAAAAGAUCUCACAGCUUUGUCACUUGGUGGGUUGACAGAGUAGUAAGUUUCCCAUAUGAUGUUCACCAAUGGUGUGUCUUCUCUAUUAAGAAAUCUGUGGAGGAAUUUCAUCAAAAGGGCUUGAUUAUGAGUGGAAAUAUCAAGCACUCCAAGCCCACCGUGAGAUUUUGCUAGGCAGACUUUUUCUCAAGCAAUCAUAGGCAUGCCUUUUUCUUCAGAGCCAUAUUUCUUCCAUUAAUAGUGUUUGAGAAGGAUAUUAAUUUUUUGAACAAUUGACUUUGGCAAUGAUUGGGAACACAUGAAGAAGAUUGUAAGGCUUGAAAACACAGAUUUCACCAAUAUCAGUUUAUCUCCAAUGGAAAGCAAAGUGGCACAUCCAGUGAGUCUAUUGGCUAUCCUUUUGAGCAAAGGAGCAUAAUCUUGGGCUCUUGGUCUUAAGAUGAAUGACACAGAAACAACAGUUUACUCUAUCGACGCCUCAGAUGUUGCAAGGCACAAUGUGCUCAAUCUCUCUGAAGUCAAAUUGGUACAAUGUUCAAUCCAAACGGUUUACAAAAGGAAGUCUUCCGUAUGUAAAAAAGUGCACUGAUAGCUCCCAUAUAUGGUACAGUGCACACCACUCCAUAGUUAGCGCAAUGCGGAUCUCUUGCUCAAAGUGCGGUAAGAAAUACUGAUACAUGUAUGCGGUUGUCCUGGUCAUACGACGAAUAGGAGACUUUACUCAUUCGCGUGAAUCCUAAUUUAUGGAGUUAUAGCAUGUUAAUGGGACGCAGCAUCAACCACGUAUAGUUCUCCUGCAUGGCUCGAAAAAAAUGAGCACGGCAUCAAACACCCAUAGUACAUGCACUACUUACUGUAGUUGACGAAAUGAAUGUUUCUUGUUAAACUGGCCAAAAUAUCACACCAACUUCUGGGAAGAGUGCUAUAUACUCCUUCCUUUCCGGUUUAUAGGACUCAUCUAAAAAAAAUUGUUUUUCCGUUUUAUAAGUCUCAAUUCUACUAGUACUUAGAGCAUGGUUCAUAAGAUAGCCUGUUGUUGUCUACUCCCUCCGUCCGGGUUUAUUAGGCCUAAAGACAACUUCUCUUAGACCAAGACACAUAGUAAUUUGCUCACAUUAAUUAUUCCAUUCCACUCCCAAUGCACUCUCUCACAUGCAUGCAGCCAAUGAAAAAGCACACAUGAAGUGUAUUAACUUUUCAGCCAUGGCACCAACAACAAUAGCUUUCAAUACAACCAAUGAAAUGGUUGCAUGCAUGCACCUUUCCAAUGCGGGGCCUUAUAAAAGGGGACAUGCUUGUGAUGCUGAGAGGCCUAAUAAACCCGGACGGAGGGAGUAUAUGUCAAUGCCAUGUCACCUAAAGUUUAGGUAAAAACCCUAUAGUAGAUUGGAUCUAAACUAGCUACUACUAGUAUUUAAAGCUUGUAUGCGGAGGGGAGAAAGAGAUACACGGAUUGGUGGAAAGGAGGCCACCCACCUGCAUGCAGGUUUCUUUUCUUGUUUCUUGUGUUGGAGCCGGCGAUUGAUGAAGCGCCUGCUUCCUUCUCUUUCUUGCCUUCUCUCUUCUCCAACUGUGAUUUUCAUGAUGUGAAAUGGCUUACAGCUAGCUGACUGAACCCUAUUAUGCUUGCUUUUACCAUCACCAAUGCACGUGUAAGUUUAUGAACAAUUAGUGGUCAUGCAUGCAUGUGUUGUAAUUAAUGCAUCGGUAAACAUAACUUUUUGAGAAAAACGAGCGUACAAAUGAAGUAUUUCUGCAAACUAGUAGUAGUAUGAAAUUUGUUCUAUCACUCAUCAUCUAUUUUGAUCGGAGAGAUUUUGAAAUUGAGCCUUAUAAACUGGGAAGGAGGAAGUAUUUUUUUACUGUUGUACUGUAUGAAUGCUACCAGUAGUAAAGGGAUAAAGUGGAAAAGCAGUGGGGCGUCAGUGUGUCAAAAGUCAAAAGCGAGCAAAAUGAAACGGUUUUGCAGAAACUUGUGUGCGUUUUAGCUAGCGGCAGCCAGUGGCCGUGGCUACUCCACCUCGUAGUUAUUGCGCGGGGUUUGUUUCCUCGAGACGGAAACGCGCCAACAGAGACACAUCGCAAAGGCAUCUAAUCGCAAGCGUUGCGUCAUACCCCUGGUCGCGCAUCAGCAUCACGUGGUCAAAGGCGAAGUACAGUAUACUAGGAGGAGUAGCACGGUGCAGGUCGUGUGCUCUUGCCUCUUGGUCUUGGACGGUGCGUUUCCCCUGGGCGAUAUUUACGCUUUCUUUAGAUAACUUUUUUUUUUGCUUUAGGAUUAGGAGGAGUAGGAAGAGUAUGUCCUUUUUCUACAAAUGGGGAAAAACUGACCUACCAGAUCGACCACGCCAUUAAUCAAUCCAACUCUGCACAGUACAGGGAGACGUGUCUCUGCCGGGAUCACAAGAUGGUGUACUGCCGCGACGCUACACAUACACUUUGUCCGGAACAAUCGGGCCAAGAUCCAGAAUGAAAAACAUGUGCCGAUAACAAUAAUGCGGCCAGCAGUGAAAUCAGGAGGACCAAACAACUGUUGCGCUGGGGCAAGCCAGCGACGCAGGCAGCAACGGUGCAUCAUGAGUCCAGGUGAAGGAAUAAUCAGCUUCAGGUUCAGGGGAGGAACAGACAGCAAGCACUGUGCUGAAUUGUUGACUUGUUUAGAUUAAGAAAAAAAACGAGUGCACCUCAUUUCAUCUGCUAGACACUACUGGUGGUAGUAGUACGUGGCGGCGUGCAUGCGCUCCAAACCUGCAGGCGUGCUCGGGCCCGCACGCACGAGGGAGAGCAUCUUCUCGCCUGUCUUUGGCCACGUAGCGUUGGUGCGCGGCUCCCAAGGCGUCGUCACAUUGCUGCUUCUUUGCUACGUUGAGUGGUGUGGGGGCUGAAUCGAUUGGCGCCAGGUGAGGCUGGGUCCGACCCACGCCGCGCCUAGCACACCAAUAAUGUUGGCUACUAACUCCGUCGUAGUUUAUUCCUUUUUAAUUUGUGCCAAAUCUUGACUAAAAACCAACUAAUAAAAUAUUAAUGCAUGUCAAAAAAAUUGUACUACUUGAAUUUGUAUUUUCGAUGAUAUAAUUUUUGGUGACAUGUGUGAACAAUUUUUUAGUUAAAUUUAUAGUUAAAAUUUAGCACGGAAUACAAUAAGGACCAAUAAAUUAAGACGGAGGUAGCAAUACAAUCAAUUGGCUGUGGAAUCCAACAGGUUUUCUCCACAUGUUUUGGACAUGGACAUAUGCAAGCGUUUUUAAGGUUGCCGCGUGUUUCAUAAAUCAUUACAAACAAUGUGGAUACAACACACUCACGCGAAACACAUCUUCAACCGCAACCCGUAAUUUUUUUCCGUAUUCAUCCGCAAAUAGGGGGACCAGUUCACGAACACAGAUGCGGGAGGCAACAAUCCAACCCUAAUCAAAUGCAUCCGGCCUUUUGAUUUUUUUCUUCUAGUCCACACGAUCAAGUAGCCGCAUGCGAAGGGUACAACGUUCAAAUAGCAGCAUGCAGUACUAGUUCAAAUUUUAAGAAGUUCAAAUAUUACAUCCCAACAUAGUUGUCCCCUUUCACCGCCCACUAAUGCUCAAUCAAAUCUUCUUCAGCUUCUUGUGAGUUGGUCGAUGCCGAAUUUGUUGAUGCAUUUAAAUAAACUCCUCAAAUGUGGCCGGAUUCUGGUCCAGAAGUUGGAUAGAAUCAUCCAUGUUCUCAAAUUCUAAAGCUACAACAGCAUCAUCACCUUCAUCCUCGAUGAUCACGUUGUGCAUGAUCACACACCAUGUCAUCACCUCCUAGAACGUUUUAGGAUCCCAUUAUUUAGUAGGUCCACGAACAAUUGCAAAACGGGCCUGCAGAACUUCAAAUGCCCUCUCGACAUCCUUUCUAACUGCUUCUUGUCUUUGGGCAAACUGAGAUUUUUUCUGGCGAACUGCCGCUGCUUGUGCGGCGAUACAGGCCACCGGCGGCCCGAUGGAGCGUUCCAUUGUGUCUUCCUAGUGGCCGCAGGUGGAGGCUCAGGUGGAGGCCACCCGGCCCUCAGCUCAGGAGGAGCCUGUCUCGGGCGUGCAUCCUCGGGCUGCUUCACCGGUGGCUCAGAUGGUGGCGACCCGCCACUCAGCUCAGGAGGAGCCGACUGUGGCGGUGCAACCACGUGUUGUUGUACGGGUGGCUCACGGUGAGCCAGUCGUGUUGGCUGCCUGCGGGCGAGGACCAGUUCGCCCGCCUUUGGAUGUGCAGCCACGUGCCGUUCUGUCGUUGGCCGGCCUUCAGCCGCAUGUGGAGCCGUUCCUUGACACGCUAGACACCACUUCCAUCUCGUUGCUAUACAUCUUCUAGAUUAGAUCUUGCGUGUUCGUAGGAAUUUUUUGAUUUUCAUGCAACGUUCCCCAUCAGAAAAGACUAGUGAACCACUUAAAGCCCUUAGUUCAAAUGUUAAUCGUAUGAAUUCUCUUCUUAUCGUUUGCAACAAGAGACUUAAUACCCUAGAUAAUAAAAUUGUUUCAUUCUCUGAAAUUAAUGGGAAGCGUAAAGAACCUCCAGGCUUUGAGUUAAGCUCGUCUAGGGUAGUUAAAAUGAAGGAUGACAAUACUUGAAACAAUGCCUUACGCCUAGCUAGGAGCGUAAAACAAUAGCGCUGUUGGGAGGCAACCCAAUAGUUAUCUUAUUUUUAUUUUUGUUUUUGAGUGUUCACACAAUUAUGCUACUAUUAUGAUUGUGUUUUUAUGCUUUAAUUAGUGUUUAUGCCAAAUAAAGCCUUUGGGACGAUUUGGUUGAUAGCUGACUUGAUUUUGUGAAAAAACAGAAACUUUUGUGCCCAUUACAAUAAUUUUUAUAAUUCACUAGAACACGAUAAAAUUCUGAAUUCUUUUACACAUUAUUGAUAUAUAAAUUUCCCAUGUUGUCCUAUUUUUUCAAAAAAUUGGAGUUACGAAAUUAUAGUGUUUUUUCAUUUCAUAACAGACUGUUUUGUUUUACACAGAUUAUGUUUUCUAUUGCAUAGUUUGAUUGUUUUAAUGAUGCUAUGGAUUAUAUCAGGGAGUAUAAGUCAUGGAGAAGUUACAAAACAGUAGCUAUUAUGCAAUAAUAAAAUAUGAAUGGGCUCAUAACAACACCUAAAGUUUAUGAUUUGUUUAUUAUACUAACGGAUCUCACGAGGUUUCUCUUGAGUUUUGCGUGCUGAAGUUUUCAAGUUUUGAGUGAGAUCACGACGGAUGAAGGAAUAAGGGGCGACAAGACCCUAAGCUUGGGAUUCCCAAGGAACCCCAAGGUAAUAUCCAAGGAGACCCAAGCAUCUAAGCUUGGGGAUGCUCUGGAUGGCAUCCUCUCUUUCGUCUAAAAUCCAUCGUUAUACUACUUGGAGCUAUCACUACUAGGGAAAAACCUAGCAGUAGCGCGGGUAUUUGGUGUAUUAGUAGCGUGGGUACCCGCGCUACUGAUAAGGCGCUACAGCUAACGUUUAGCAGUAGCGCGUGUUGACACGCGCUACUGCUAUACCUACUUAGAAGUAGCGCGUCCCAUACCAGCGCUACUGCUAAGUGUUUUAGCAGUAGCAUUUUCCUGUCUAGCGCUAAAGAGCGCUACUACUAUAUUUUAUCAUAUCUUUUCUUUGCUGCGUAUUUGUGAUGUUUUUGUAUAGGUUUUAUACAGUAUUCUAAUCAUAUCAUAAACAUGCAAUAUGUUCAUCAUAUCAUACACAUAAUAGUCUCAUCAUAUCAUCCAACACAAAUCAUGUCGUCACAUCAUAAUCACGAUAUAGCUAUACAAGUUACAUGACAUGUCUCAUCAUACAUAAUGUAGUACUUCUUGGGGCGUCGGUUCGUAUCCCUCUCCCGCACUAGCGUGAACCUAAACUAACCACUGGAUGUCGCUCCAAAACCGAAAACCGAUACACCUGGGCCUGACACUCCGGCCACUCGUCGUAUACUCUUGGCAUAUCACUUCUUCGUCAUCGAUGAUCUAUGCACCUGCAUCGUCACAUGAGUCGAUGAUAUGCAACAUAUAUAGUUGAGCAACAGAAAGAGACAGACUUGGCAAAAAUAGAAGCAACAUAUCAUAAGCAUAAAUAAUAAAGUUCAUCAUACCCAAAAUGCCCUAACUGGAGUGAUCUUCGCAAGUUAAGGAGGACGGUUUAAUUACAUCACAAAUAAAAUUUUAUCGUGCACAACUCAAAGUUUCGUCAUUCAGAAAGUAUGGACUAAACGGACACAUUGUCAUAUAUCGACAAUCACUCCAACAUGUCGCGCCAUCCAUCCAAGUUAGGGAGAUAGUCCCCGAGCUUAGUGAAAGGCUUCAGGUCGAGACGCUGAGCGGCUACGCGUGUUCGGACGUCUUCCCGUGACAUUUGCCCUUCCAUGUAGAACAUCCCUGUUUUUUCGAGGACCUCCUUCAUGAUGAUUUGGGCAAGUUCACACUGGAUGUGAUAGAACUCAACUCGAAGUCGUUGAUCCAGGAUAUCUCCUACGUUCUUUGCCCAUUGCAAAAUAUGGGCAUCGUCGAAUGUAGGUGACAUGCGAAGUUCUGCUGAUCCUGUCUAUACUCCAGCAUGUGGUGUAGGACAUAUAAUCCAUCACUAGGAGUAUCACUCGGUUGCUGGAUGCAGCAGAAGUCAGUCUUAUGGCCGAAGGCGGGCCUGUCGUUCCUUUCCUUCUUGGUCUUGAUAUCUCCACCCCGUACGCUGUAGUAAAAGAUAGCACUGUCGAGAACAGAGUUGAUGUGGGUGUAAUCCUUUUUGUUCAUGUUCUUCGAUGAGUCCAAGUAAAGAGCGUGGGAGUAUCGGGGGUAAAGGAUGAUGAGGAUGGCGCGCCCGCCGCUGCGCAAAAUAAGUACACCUCAAAUAAAUUAGCCUCUACCGUGCAAAUGAAUGAUUGAAAUCGAAGGAAGGAUAUCCGCGUGGAUGACUUACAUGGGAUGAUAAGGCACGAGAAUCGUCUCCUUGUCCUUAUUGGCGAAAAUGAAAUCGACGAUGUAGUCCCUCGCGUGUUCACGGUGCUCUGCGCGGUCUGCCAAGAAGCCCUCGUGCAUGAAGUACGGGUCAGCGACACAGAUAUAAGGUAUCUGCUCAAUCCCGAUGAUGUAGUUCAUGUACAAGGCAUAAAGGCGGAGAAACGUAAAAUCCAGCUUCUUCAAGUGAAACAUGUCGAAGAUGUAAUCGAAUCGAAGGAAGAACUUCUCCGCGGGGAAUGUGUCGAUGUACGACCUUUGUCGCGACACGUUAACCACGUAGAGUGGCUAUCCUGGAUUUUCCGAGGCGAUGAGGCUUUACUCUCUCCGUAGCACAUCGUCAUAAAGUCUCCUUAGAUUGUCGUAUAUGGCCUCUAUCGCUGCCUUAGGUAGGAUUGGUUCACCGGGGAUAUGCCAUUUUGCCGCACCGGGGAUAGGUAUACGGUCUUGAACCCGAGGCUGCUGAGGCGGCUUGACCAUAGAAGCAGCUUUGUUGCCUUUCCUCGGUCUCUUCCUAUGCUUCUUUGCUACCGAAAGGUCGUCUAUAAUACGUUCAUCCUCCGGCAAUUCAGGCACCGACUCAUGACGCUCAAACCCUGAGUACUCAUACCGCUGAGCCAUUAAUCUUCCAUCAUCAUAGGCGCCAGUAUUGAGAUACUGUAGAGUGUCAUCAUCAUCCUCGUCGAUGGCAUCAUGCAUUGCUUCUUCGAUGGCGGCGACAUCAUCAGCGACUAAUGGAGCCUCUUCCUCACCCCGUCCACUAUCACCCGGCACGACAGGUGACGCUAAUUGGGUAGGUGGGGUGUUGAUGUUCAUACCUUGCUGAGGCUGCGUGGUCGUGGUGGGUGUCCCGGCUGCCUCCAGACGAAGCAAACUCUUUGGCCACAACAUGACCCAAGUCUUCCAAUCGCCAAGCCUCCGCGGGGUCUCGUCGUCAUCUCCCCCUAGUACCGGAGGAGCCAAAUUCUCGUGGCCCGGUUUGACACUGGCCACGGAAACCUUGAAGACGUCAGGGGGAUCGGCCCGCUGUGGAACAAGGGUUCCUUCGGAUCACUAUCGUUGCCUUCCCCACGUCCACCUUCUGGCCGCUGAUAGUGUACAGUAUGGUGCAGGGGUUUCCUCGACCUGCAAAGACAUGUCUGCGACGUGAGACAUCUGAAAGGCAACGAAAACGGGAGAUUAUACAUUUAUUGAAGAGGGCCAGUGUGACAGGUACCGUGAGGGCGUCGAUCUUAGCCAAAGUAGAAGCACCGUCGAGCAUGUCCGAGACAGAGGAAGGGCUGCUAUGAGCAGGUGCAGGAGCUAGUGCAGGAGCUGGUGCGGGAGUCGGUGCAGGAGCAGGUGCUGGUGCAACGCUAGUUGAGCUGCUCUCGAAGAAGUUGGCAAGGGGAAAGUCCGCUGCAUUUUGGAUUUUGCCUGCUCCAACAAACGAUAGCCAGAACCAAGACACCACACGUAGCUGCCAUCUCCCGUUUUGCGGCAGCUACCGCUGCUUUGACUGUCUCACCUGAUUUUUUCUCAACCGCAAUCUCAACCUUCUUGUCGAUGUUUUCUUCAGUUAACCUCCGUCUUUCCUUUCUCUCCUCCGUGGUCUCACGACAGUAAUUCUUCCACGUGGCGCCAUCUCCAACGUCGUGCACGCGUCCAUACGACGGCCGAAUGUCCACCGGGAGUCCUUUCAAUAUUUUCAAGGCCCGGUUGAAUAGGGUGUCCCACUUGGGCCUCGCCAACGCCUCAGACGGCGAGUCGCUUUCGGCCGCGAUCCUGUGCUGCUCUCUCUACAAAAGGAACAAGGAUGUUUACAAAUAUGACUAAAUGUGCAGUCGAAUUGAUCAGAAGCUAAAAUUAGGGGGUAAAUUAAAAAUGGGUUUUUUAUUUCCGUGCCCCUGGUUCCUUAGCUCUACUCAUUCAUCCCCACUCUGUUAACUUUUGCUCACUUUUCCCCACUCCCUUGUCCAAAACCCUCAGAACAGGUUACAACGGACGUUGCCGUCGGGCUAAUGCCUUUGACCAUUAACUGUGACGAGUGGGGCCGCGUAGGGCCGAGUACACCUUUGACCGUUACCCGUAUAGUUGUUUCGUAUGCUGACCGUACAUGUAUUCGUAUACGUGGGCACAUGCAACGGACCAUGGUCGUGGGGUAGGACGUGUCCAUAGGACAUGCCUGAAACGUCCCAUCGUAUAAAGAGGGGCAACCACCUCCAUUGCCCCCUACCAUUUUCCCUCAAAUCUCGUCCCUGCUGCAUCGUCUUCCUCUCCCCCACCGGCGUCGUCUCGCUCUCCCCCACCGCAUCCUCUUCCUCACCUUCAUCGCCUUCACCCGGAGAAGGCCGAAGCCCGUGGCGACGCCGGCGCAGUGGCCGGAGAUGUGGUUGAGCUACAGGGCAUGGUGACCGCGGAUGUCGGCGGCGUCCACGGUGGUGCGGGGAAACUCGCAACCGCUGCGGAUGUGGAGAAGGAGGUGGCGGGCUCCGCCUCAGCGCUGCAGAAGGUGAUGGCGUCGAGCAGAGCAGUCAAAUCCGAUACCCCCCAUGCGCAACCUAGCGAGGAGCAGGAGGUUUUUGCACUUGCUUUACUUUAGGAUAUUAGCUUGUAGAGUUAGUUGGAUUGGUUAGAUUGUGGAUUCAUACUAUAUUUCAGAUGGUUAGAGUAGUUGGUUUGAUGGAUGGGACGGGGUUUUCUGUAUUGGGGGGAUGGGGGGGGGGGUUUGUACUAGGGUUUGUUGGAUAAAUUCAUUGCAAAAAUGCUAGAUAGAUAUGUUUAUUAGAUGUGCUUCCACUACUGCAGGAUGCUGCUAACGCGACACUACGAUCAGAGACCCUUCGACGAAACUGUGUGCGAUGCCAUAAUCGUAAACGGUGGUGUAAAAAACCGUCAAAAAGGGUGCAAAACGUUUGCGAUGGCGGAGCCAUCAAACACGGUUCAGAUUUUAGUUGCCUGUGCGAUGAAGGGCAUACGGUUCAGUUCAAUUAACUGUUUGCGAUGAGGAGGAACAAAAGAAAUGCGCAACCAGAUGGAGGUGUGUGCGAUAUACAACAUACGGUUCACUAGGAUGAACUGUUUGUGAUUACGCAACACAAAAGAAACGGCCAGCCAGAUGAAGGUGUGUGCGAUUUACGGCAUGCGGUUCACUCGAAUGAACUGUUUGCGUUGAGACAUGAGAAAAAAAUGGUUCAACUUAACAAGAUGUGUGUGAUACGCGGCAAACAGGUCUGUAAUCAGAAACGUGUGUGAAGACCGAUAAUAACACAGACGGUUGUGGCUAAUAAGACGUGUGUGUUGUGCGAUGGGAUUGCAUACAGAACAACAAUACACGCACACACACACACACACACACACACACACACACACACACACACUUAUAAGGACAUGCUUGCAUAACCAAAUUAAACAUCCACUUACAUAGGUGGUUACUACAACCAUGGCAUUUGCACACGCCAAAGUAAGCUAUUUGUGAGGGAAUAAGCCGUGUGUGUUGCGGGCUAACGCUUGCUGGUAUAUAACCUUAAAUUUAACCAACAAAGUGUUAAUGCAUGUUACAAAAAUUGUAUAGCUGGAAACUAUGUUCAAAUACGACUCCAACGAUAUAAUCUUUGGCGACAUGCAUUCGUAUUUUAUUAGUUAUAUCCUACUUAUAAACCAGGACGGGGGUAUAGUUGGUAAUUAAAUCGCAAACGUUUUUUUAUUAACCAUAUGUGUACGUGUCCUUUCGUCCUCCUCUCGCACGUCUUGUCACCCCGCUGCCGCAGACGGCUUACAGCGCAAGUUUGCGCAGCGUGCGGGGGCGUUCUUUUGGCCAAACAGUGGCACGCCAAUGAAUCGUCGGUGAGCCCGUUCCCACGCAACCUCGCAGGUUCCCGCGCAAGAUUCCCGCCCGAGUCGGUGAAAUCCCCCAAAAUCCCAAUGCUUACCGGCCUGCUAUAAAAACCCUCACGGCUGGCGAGUCCUGCGUCGCAUUUUCCCCUCCCUCCCUGUAGCUUAUCUCGUCUGCUUCUCCCACAAUCGCCAAUGGCACCGGUCCGUCCUCGUCGCUCAGCCACUCUGCCUUCAUCAGAGGACAGCUCCAGCUGGGAGGCUACCCCGCGGCGGCGGCGCAAUCCCCAGCGUAGUGUAGUGCACGUGGCAUCCCUGUUGGGUGUGCGCGGAACACCCACCACACGCUCCGCCGCCGCUGCCCAUCGGCAGCUGUUGCCGAUCGCCGUUGCCGCCACACCACCGUCGAAAGCCAGGGCCAUCUCCCGCUCCGCCGCCGCGGCCCGAAGGCGGGAGGUGGCCGUCGUGGCUGCCACCCCACUGCCAGCCACCGUGGCCAUCACCCGCUCCACCACCGCGGCCCGAAGGCGGGAGGUGGUGGUCGUGGCCGCCACCCCAUCAUCGGCCGCCGUGGCCGCCAGCCCACUGUCGAUCGCUAGGAUCAUCACCCGCUCCGCCACCGCCGCCAAGGAGGGAGGCGGAGGUGGAGUCCCGCACGUGUGUCAGCGACCUUGCGCGCUACAUCGAGUUCCUGCGGGAGGAGGAGGAGCGCCUCGUCGAGCAUGCAAAGAGCCUUACCGCAGCCGUGGCUGCAGCACACACCAACGCAGAAGCGAGGAAUCAGGAGAUCUACGAGCAGUCCGGCCGCUUCGAGAGGGAUCGUCUGGAGCGGCAGUGGGCGUUCGAGCUGGCGAGCGCCGCUGAACGUGCAGCAGCGGCAGGCACCGUAUUGCAUUUCUCCAGCUCGUCGGUAGGCUCGUCCUCCUCCUCUGCCUCUUACUGAGCGCGCUCGGCAGAGGAGAGGCUGCCGGAAGUAGCACAAAGCCCCUCUGUGGUAGUAGUAGUAUUUAGGGGCUAUUUUGUUCAGUUCAUCUGACUAUAGAUGUGUGGUUGAACUGUACAACGUACUUAAAAUUAGCUAGUAUAUAUAGUUGAACUAGCUAUUUCAGUACAUGGUUGGCAACAAUUGGGGAAAAGAUUGGUCGGUUCAACUGUUGUCGGAUUUCUGGUUCCGGCAAAACCUUUGAGGUUCGAACACUGGGGUGCGCACGAAGAUCUCUCCCUGCCUAGAUCGCCCUCACCACAUCUCAAGGCCUAGCUCGGCGAACCCGCAGAAAGAGACACAAGAGUUUAUACUGGUUCGGGCCACCGAUGUGGUGUAAUACCCUACUCUAGUGUGGUGUGGUGGAUUGCCUCUUGGGCCGAGGAUGAAUAGUUACAAGGGAAGAACAGCCUCCUGAGGAGAGGUGUUCUUGUGCUUGGUGGUGGCUCUGUUCGGGAUGAGAUCCAGAUUAGGAUGAGCUCGAGUUGCCUCCUACUGUGGUGGCUAGUCCUAUUUAUAGAGGCCCUGAUCCUCUCCCCAAAUAUUGAGCGGGAAGGAUCCAACAACGACCAAAUUUGAAGGGAGACAACUAGUACAAGUUAUCCCGACUAAAGGUGGUCUUCGCCUGCCAAAGGCUCUGGUGUUGACGCCGUCUUGGGCUCCACGAUGACCUCCAUCUUGCCGUCCUGCUGGUCUUGGUCUCGUUGCACCGAUAUGGAAACCUUUGCAUGAUGCCUCGGGACUCCUCGCCUGCGCUUGCCCCUUUAGCACCAAAGAGGAAACGAGGACACUGCGCGCGCUGGCACCCGCCUGGCUUCGGUCGUCAUGGCUUGCGUCACAGGAACCUCGCGAGGUGUCCCUUGCCUUGAUCUCUCCGUCCCUUGCGAGCCAGCCUGGUCCCCCGAGGAGGUCUUGUGUCGUCCACCUCGCGAGGCUUGGCCCCUCGCGAGGGUCUUGAGUGUUUGUUGGUGAAGAUGGGCCGUACAGGGCCGCUGGUGGAGCCACGCAGUGGGCCACAGGCAGGCAAGUCUGGGGACGCCCGUUCCCAGGACGCCGACAGUAGCCCCCGGGCCCAAGGCGUGCUCGGACUUGGCUUCGGGGCGAAGCCAAAGGGAAAGUGUAGAGCGCCGCGGGUCCCAACAGCCUGCGGCCCAGCUUGACACGUGGCGAUUGAUUGGACGUGGGCGUGUCCGCUUCCCCACGGUGCCUUGGCAACUGCCCGUCUGACAAAAGGCUGGCGCGGGCAACACUCACCUUCAUUGCUUUCCUUUGUCUUGCUCCAGAUCCCCUUUCUCGCCCCUCACUUCUGAAACCUCCAGACCUGCUUCAAUCUCCCUCCGAGCCAGCCACCAAUGGCGCCCCGGAAGGUCAAGACUUCUUCGUCGCCCGCCUGGUACGAGCCGGCUCUGGAUGCGCCCAAUGUCUCGGAGAAGAACCUCGCCGCCACACGCCUGCUGACGGCGGGGGAGAGCAACGAGAGGGGGAAGACCGAGCUCCGGGCUGGCUCUACCGAACCAGAGGCUUCGAAGAGCACCUUCUACCCCUUCUUCAUGAGCAGCGUCGUCGCGGGCCUAGUUCCCCCCUUCUCCGACUUCUUCUACGCCGUCCUCCGCCAUUACGGGUUGCAAGCUCUCCAUUUCCAUCCCAACUCUGUUAUUCUCUUGUCGAUCUUUGCCUUCUACUGUGAGGCGUAUGUCGGGAUGAUGCUGUCCAUGGCACUGCUGCGCCACUUCUUCUUCCUCCGAAUCAACGGCGGCCACACCUCAGGGUGCGCCAACUUCAUCGCAGUCGCCAAGGCCAACGCGAUCUCGAAGGCCGGCAAGAAGGCCGAUGGCUUCAGGAGCAAGUGGGCCAUGAUGGAUGCCAUGUGCGUCCACCCACAGUUGAAGCUGCCGACGAAGAUGCCCCAGUCUGAUCAGGGGUGGUCCCGCGCAAAGCUUACUCACGAUCGGGCAACGCCGGUGCUGGAGAAGAUGACCGCCGAUCUGAGGCCGGGCAACGCGAAGGCGGCGAAGCUGACGGGGGCCAUGCUCCUGAGAGAAUUCCUGAUGUUGUGGGUGGCUCCACUCCAGGCACGCUCGCGCCCCUUGUGGACGCUUGGGGGUGCAGAAGACAAGCUCCGCCUGAGUCCGGAGGCCUUGUCCAACGAGGAGCUCGCUGUGGCUCUCCGCCUCUUGGUCGGGGACGACCAAGAGUAUCCGCCGAGUGCCAUCGUCCCCCUGUUCCGUCGCAAGGACGGGGCACAGGUUGCGGCCGCCAUGCCCGCCUUUGACGAGUGCGGCCUGGUGCCGCCGGCGCCCCUUGUGGUCUGAUAACCCACAAGUAUAGGGGAUCGCAACAGUUUUCGAGGGUAGAGUAUUCAACCCAAAUUUAUUGAUUCGACACAAGGGGAGCCAAAGAAUAUCCUUAAGUAUUAGCAGCUGAGUUGUCAAUUCAACCACACCUGGAUAACUUAUUAUCUGCAGCAAAGUAUUUAGUAGCAAACUAAUAUGGAAGUAACGGUAACGAUAGCAAAAGUAAUAUUUUUGGGUUUUAUAGUGAUUGUAACAGUAGCAACGGUAAAGUAAAUAAGCGAAGAACAAUAUGUGAAAAGCUCGUAGGCAUUGGAUCGGUGAUGGAGAAUUAUGCCGGAUGCGGUUCAUCAUGUAACAGUCAUAACAUAGGGUGACACAAAACUAGCUCCAAUUCAUCAAUGUAAUGCAGGCAUGUAUUCCGAAUAUAGUCAUACGUGCUUAUGGAAAAGAACUUGCAUGACAUCUUUUGUCCUACUCUCCCGUGGCAGCGGGGUCCUAACGGAAACUAAGGGAUAUUAAGGCCUCCUUUUAAUAGAGUACCGGACCAAAGCAUUAACACAUAGUGAAUACAUGAACUCCUCAAACUAUGGUCAUCACCGGGUGUGGUCCCGAUUAUUGUCACUUCGGGGUUGCCGGAUCAUAACACAUAGUAGGUGACUAUAGACUUGCAAGAUAGGAUCAAGAACUCACAUAUAUUCAUGAAAACAUAAUAGGUUCAGAUCUGAAAUCAUGGCACUCGGGCCCUAGUGACAAGCAUUAAGCAUAGCAAAGUUAUAGCAACAUCAAUCUCAGAACAUAGUGGAUACUAGGGAUCAAACCCUAACAAAACUAACUCGAUUACAUGAUAAAUCUCAUCCAACCUAUCACCGUCCAGCAAGCCUACGAUGGAAUUACUCACGCACGGCGGUGAGCAUUAUGAAAUUGGUGAUGGAGGAUGGUUGAUGAUGACGAUGGCGACGGAUUCCCCUCUCCGGAGCCCCGAACGGACUCCAGAUCAGCCCUCCCGAGAGAGUUUAGGGCUUGGCGGCGGCUCCGUAUCGUAAAAUGCGAUGAAUCUUUCUCUCUGAUUUUUUCUCCCCGAACACAAAUAUAUGGAGUUGGAGUUGAGGUCGGUGGAGCUUCAGGGGGGCCACGAGGCAGGGGGGCGCGCCCAGGGGGGGCAGGCGCGCCCCCACCCUCGUGGCAAGGGUGUGGGCCCCCUGGCCUUGAUUCUUUCGCGAGUAUUUUUUUUAUUUCCAAAAAUAAUCUCCGUGGAGUUUCAGGUCAUUCUCAGAACUUUUGUUUCUGCACAUAAAUAACACCAUGGCAAUUCUGCUGAAAACAGCGUCAGUCCGGGUUAGUUCCAUUCAAAUCAUGCAAGUUAGAGUCCAAAACAAGGGCAAAAGUGUUUGGAAAAGUAGACACGACGGAGACGUAUCAACUCCCCCAAGCUUAAACCUUUGCUUGUCCUCAAGCAAUUCAGUUGACAAACUGAAAGUGAUAAAGAAAAACUUUUACAAACUCUGUUUGCUCUUGUUGUUGUAAAUAUGUAAAGCCAGCAUUCAAGUUUUCAGCAAAGAUUAUGAACUAACCAUAUUCACAAUAACACUUAGGUCUCAUGUUUACUCAUAUCAAUGGCAUAACCAACUAGCGAGCAAUAAUAAUAAAUCUCAGAUGACAACACUUUCUCAAAACAAUCAUAAUAUGAUAUAACAGGAUGGUAUCUCGCUAGCCCUUUCUGAGACCGCAAAACAUAAAUGCAGAGCACAUUUAAAGAUCAAGGAGUGACUAAACAUUGUAAUUCAUGGUAAAACAGAUCCAGUCAUAGUCAUACCCAAUAUGAACUAACAAUAAUGAAUGCAAAUGACAGCGGUGCUCUCCAGCUGGUGCUUUUUAAUAAGAGGGUGCUGACUCAACAUAAAAGUAAAUAGAUAGGCCCUUCGCAGAGGGAAGCGGGGAUUUGUAGAGGUGCUAGAGCUCGGUUUUGAAAUAGAGAUAAAUAAUAUUUUGAGCGGCAUACUUUCAUUAUCAACAUAACAACCAAGAGAUGGUGAUAUCUUCCAUGCUACACACAUUAUAGGCGGUCCCCAAACAGAAUGGUAAAGUUUAUACUCCCCCUCCACCAACAAGCAUCAAUCCAUGGCUUGCUCGAAACAACGAGUGCCUCCAACUAACAACAGUCCCGGGGGAGUUUUGUUUGCAAUUAUUUUGAUUUGAUUUGCAUAAAGCAAGGGACUGGUCUCGGUGUCAAAACCGGCGGAUCUCGGGUAGGGGGUCCCGAACUGUGCGUCUAAGGCGGAUGGUAACAGGAGGCGGGGGACACGAUGUUUACCCAGGUUCAGGCCCUCUCGAUGGAGGUAAUACCCUACUUCCUGCUUGAUUGAUCUUGAUGAUAUGAGUAUUACAAGAGUUGAUCUACCACGAGAUCAUAGAGGCUAAAACCCUAGAAGGUAGCCUAUGGUAUGAUUGUUGUUGUCCUACGGACUAAAUCCUCCGGUUUAUAUAGACACCGGAGGGGACUAGGGUUACACAGAGUCGGUUACAAUGGAGGAGAUCUACAUAUUCGUAUUGCCAAGCUUGCCUUCCACGCCAAGGAGAGUCCCAUCCGGACACGGGUCGAAGUCUUCAAUCUUGUAUCUUCAUAGUCCAACAGUCCGGCCAAAGGAUAUAAUCCGGCUUUCCGAGGACCCCCUAAUCCAGGACUCCCUCAGUAGCCCCUGAACCAGGCUUCAAUGGCGAUGAGUCCGGCGCGCAGAUUGUCUUCGGCAUUGCAAGGCGGGUUCUUCUCCAAAUUCUGAAUAUUUGUUUGAGUAGUGUCCGGCUUCCCAUAAAUGUUGCACUGCUUGGCUUCCGCGCCUAAUAAUGGAUAUCCUCCACGCGUCGAGCGAAUGCGAGAAGUCGGGGCAUUUUUACAAUUGCCACCCUAGCCAUGUGGGUAAAUUGUCUAUUAAAGAGACGGGGAUUCUCAGAUCCAGAUCACACCAUCCUCCCACAGCGAGUAUCCAUCGGAGCGCGCCCGGAAAAAAUACAUUCCAACAUAGCCGGUCGUCGCAGCUCCUCCUCUCGCUCCCGUAGCCCUAAGCCCGGCAAUUGGAAGAAGUGUUCUGUCCCCCACAGCCAAUUAGUAGAGUUACAAACCCAGGGGUUUCUCCCUCCAGCGUAUAUGGUCCCCGUUCGAGCCGGGCUCGCCACCUAUAACGGCGGGGAGCAAGCGGAGAUCUUUCCCAGCCCAUCCAUGGGGGGGCUGGUAUGCCUCGUCCCUUACUUAUUAAGAGGGCUUGGAUUUCCAAUUCAUCCGUUCCUCCGCGGGCUCCUGGAGUUCUAUGGCCUCCAGCUGCAUAAUUUCACUCCCGCCUCCAUAUUACACAUUGCUGGCUAUGUUUGCGAGGUGUUUCUGGGCUGCGAAGCUCAUUUCGAGCUAUGGAAGAGGCUAUUCUGCCUCGUACCCCAUACACAGGAGGGGUCACUGUACCAAGUGGACGGAGCCGAAAUAUGGCGCAUCGCCGGGACCGGAUACCUGUCCGGUACUCCGAAGAAGACAUCCGAGGAUUGGCCUUCGGAGUGGUUUUACAUGGAGGACGUCCCCCUUCCGAACCCUAUUCGGAUGGGCCUCCCUGAGUUCGACAACGCUCCCCUGAAGAAACGCCGCAGCUGGCGCCCUCGGAGCCCUCAGGAGGAAGAUAACGGAGAAGUCCUUUACCUGAUGGGCCAGAUAAAAAUGCUGGCUCAAUCAGGACUGACAAUAAUCGAGGUUAUGUCAAUAUGUAUAAUGCGGGGGGUACAACCACUUCAAUAUCGAGGGCACCCCAUGUGGCACUUUAACAGGGAAGAUGAUGCCACCCGCUGCGGGCAUAAGGGACCGGACUCAGUUGCUGCUCUAGCAAAAAUCCUGUCCGAUUUGUACAAGGGAGAGGAAGAGGAGUUCAUCCGCAUUAAGCCACGGGAUGGAUUCUCCAUGUACAACCCUCCAAGCUGGGUGAGCUGUCACUUUUUACUCCCAACCUUCCCGCAUUCUUCGUCAUAAGUACUUACCUUGCCGUUUCAUGCCAGGAACUGCGAAAAGCUGUAAGGGAGGUCCACAGCCCGCCUCCACAACCGGAGGACCCUGACCGGGCCCUCGAUCCCGGACUCGAAGAGGAUCCGGACAUAUUUUUGGAGCUGAUCAACAUGAAAUUCUAUCAAUUGAGCUGCGAUGAUGCCAUGGUGGCCAUCAUAGCCGACUAUCCUGGGCUACUCCCUGCAUCGCAUGUAAGUAAAACCGGAGUCCCAACUUCCGAGAAGGAUCCCCUUUUCUGCACUUCACCUACCGUACACAUAUGGUGUCUUACAAGGAAGGCCCUCGGGACGCCAUGCCGAACCCGCAGUGACUCGCCAACAAGGGGCACCGAAGCCGGGUAGGCUAAAAAGGAAGGCGGUCAGGACUGAGACGCCGUCGCAGAGGUAUGAUACAGAACCUCGCUCCGUGGUUGUCGUCUUUUAAAAUAUAAUAACGUCCACGUUUCCUAGUAGGAAAAAUGCUCGCCGGACUAUAUCCGGAGAGGUUGCCGAUCACGCCUCCACCAGUCGGGCUCCAGGGCCGGACAUAGAGGCGGAAGCUAACACGGGGCGAACGCCGGAUGCUCCUCCUACAGAGGAUGCGGAUAGAUUAUCCGCUACAAAUUCCGAAGUGGAGAGCGCCAUGAAUCACAGGCGUCGCCGGGCCGUACUCCGUGACGCUUGUUUCUCCCAAGAGGCGUUUGAUGCCUUCAACUCAGGAGACGCGUACAUCCGUGCUGCUCAAAAUGGUCUUGCCAGAGCCACGGACCAGUAUGUAAAGGAUAUACGGGUAAGAAAAUCUGAUGAUUAUAUAUAUCAGUAGCCCCUGAGACUUGAAACAGUUGACACAACUGAUUUAAGGAUCAUUUGUGCAGGUUCUUACAGAGAAGAAUACCCAAUUGUCUCAAGAGCUGGAAGAGUGCAAACCCCAGCUAUGGGCCGCAGUUGCCGCGCUGAAGGAGUCCGAGAAGGACCCCUCUGGUAACACUUGUCUCUAUUGCAAAGAAUGAAAGGUACCAGAUAGUAUGCGGCAUGCAUGCAAAUCUAAUAAUAGAUUCAGCAGGUGACUCCGGAGUGAAUCCGGAGGUCGUGAUAGGGAACGAGCCACAUGCCCAAUGAUAGCUAAAGGCUGGUGAGCGCGUGCUUAAAAAGGUUAGGCAUGAGAAAAACAAUCUCCAAGAUGCCAAUAUCUAGCUGAGCGUGGAACUGAAGGAUGUUCGGGCCCAGCUUGCUGACUCCGUAAAGGAGAAUAAGAGGCUUCGACGCGGCAUUUUUAGUAAGUGCUUGAACGAACUUUUAAAGAGUUCAGCGAAGAAACCUGCUAACAGACUUAUAUCUGCAGGUAUGCUGACGGGUCGUUCUGAGGAGGAGAUGCCCGGGUCCCUGCCAGAGCUCUCACAACUGCAAGAACAAGUUCGGCAGGUGAUGCAGGGCAUUACCCAAGCCUUGUGGCCAUCCAUCUCUCUGCCAAGAGGCAUGGGGGAGCUUGUAGAGAAGCUCAAGGGAGCGCGGCGGCGCUUCCGAUUAUGGAAGAUAUCAGCCUGCCGACAAGGUGCGAGGGAAGUCUGGGCCAUGGUGAAGACGCGGUAUACCAAGGCUGACCCUAACCACAUGGCCGAGGUCGGACCUGUGGGGCCUAACGGGAAGGAGAUCCCCGUCAGUUUGGUGUAUGACCAAGUAGAAUUAGCCGCAAAGUAUUCCCAACAGGAUUGUAGGUUAGACAGCCUGUUGGAUGGUAUAGAAGAAGAAUUUAGUCAGUCUAAGUGACUGUGUACUUCAAGUGACAUAUAUUGUCCCUAGCCGGAUUGUAAAUCAUUUUUCAUGACGGACCUUUUUGCUUCGACCUCUGGACCCGAUAGUCCAGAGUGUAUCCGAAUACCCGCUCAGUUAUGUAAAAACCGGGGUACGCGUGGAAACCAGGCGUAGGGGUCAUAAGUGCUUGAACAGACAAGUACCCAACUAGCUAUGUUAUAUUACAUGGAUAGUAAGAAACAUCUUCCAGGGAGAGUAGUUCCGUUAAGGGUUCCUUUCCCUGGGUACGCAUGCCCUAAUGUGCAUGUCCGAACUGCGAAAAGAGACGCAGGCUAUAAACAUCUGGGGGCAUAUAUUAAAAUAAAUAAAAGUCAUAUUUUGUUCACCGACCGAGUAUUCCCUUAAGAACGCUAGCUUUCGGCUUCACCCAGUCUGAGGUACACAUCCGGCUGACCCGGCAGUAACAAUCGCAGAGGUGCUCCCCUUAUGCCCUAGCCGAAUUAACGGGAACGUAGGGCAUAAACACAAGAGCCAGGCAACCCAGCUUGGCCAAAACUUAAGUCAUAUCGAUGCAUAUAAUGGCGAAAAAGGUACAUGUGGAAGAAUAACACAUGUGUGGGGCAUCGAGCCCGGAAAAUAGUUAUAUUAAGCUUCUGUAUAAGAAGCCCCCAGGUAUAAUGAGUGCGGUUAGUGUGUCAAGAUUGUGUAGUCAAGACACAAUUUAGCCUUUUAAGGCCUUGAAGAAAAGGAAAAAAUAAAGAGAUAAAAGACAGAUAACGGAUAUUUAAAAAAUUGACAGAGGUAAGGAGACGAACAUAGAGUCCGGCACUAGGCGUAGAACCUUUGGAGUCUGGCUGCAUUCCAUGGGUUGGGCUCGAGUCGAUUGUCCGAUGCAUCCCGCAGACGGUACGCUCCACCGGUCAGAACUUGGUCAAUAAUGAAGGGACCUUCCCAUUUGGGCUUGAGCUUGUUCUUUUUCUUCUCCGGUAGGCGUAGAACGAGUUCCCCAACGUUAUAGGUUUUGGCCUAUACUUCUCUGCUUUGAUAGCUUCGAGCCUGUUGCUGAUAGAAUGUGGAACGGGCUUUUGCCAUGUCACGCUCCUCCUCCAGCGCGUCCAAACUGUCCUGCCGAUCAAGCUCGGCUUCUUUCUCUUCAUACAUGCACACUCGAGGUGAGUCAUGGAUUAUGUCGCAGGGCAGUACCGCCUCUGCACCGUAUACCAUAAAAAAUGGUGUGUAUCCGGUAGUGCGAUUUGGCGUGGUCCGCAGCCCCCAUAGUACGGAGUCGAGCUCCUCUACCCAGUGCGUGUUUGAUUCCUUUAAGGACUGCACUAAUCUGGGUUUAAUGCCGCUCAUGAUAAGACCAUUUGCUCGCUCGACUUGACCGUUAGUUUGCGGGUGAUAGACAGAAGCAUAAUCGAGCUUGAUGCCCAUGUUGCUGCACCAAAGUUUUACCUCGUCGGCUGUAAAGUUCGAGCCGUUAUCAGUGAUGAUGCUGUGGGGGAUGCAUAACGGUGUAUAACCCCAGAUAUGAAGUCUAUCACAGGUCUGAAUUCGGCCGUUUUAACUGGUUUGGCUUCUAUCCAUUUGGUGAAUUUAUCCACCAUGACCAAUAAGUAUUUUUUCUUAUGGCUUCCCCCUUUGAGGGGUCCUACCAUAUCAAGCCCCCAGACCGCAAAGGGCCAAGUAAUAGGGAUUGUUUGGAGGGUGGUAGGCGGCAUAUGGCUUUGGUUUGCAAAAAGCUGGCAACCGACGCAACGUUGGACAAGCUCGUGUGCGUCUGCUCGGGCCGUCGGCCAGUAGAAACCUAUACGGAAGGCCUUGCUUACAAGGGCCCGAGCUGCGGCGUGGUGGCCGCCAAGUCCAGCAUGAAUUUCUGCCAAAAGUUUCCACCCUUCCUCUUCGGAGAUGCACCUUUGAAGGACUCCGGUGGCGCUUUUCUUAUAAAGCUCUCCCUCGUGGACCUUGUAGGCUUUAGACCGCCGCACAAUGCAACGUGCCUUGUUUGGGUCCUCCGGUAGUUCCUUCCUAGUUAGGUAGGCCAGGAAGGGUUCUAUCCACGGGGCGAUGACAGCCAUAAUCAUGUGGGCGGAAGGUGUUAUUUCGGUGGCGGUGCCUCCGAUUACGUCAGAGUGUUCGGUAUCUGGUGUUGUGGCCAAGUCCGGACUGUUGUUGCCGGUCUCUCCUUCCCAUACCACGGAUGGCUUAAACAGCCUUUCCAAGAAGAUAUUGGGUGGGACAGGGUCGCGCCUAGCGCCGAUGCGGGCGAGGAUGUCCGUCGCUUGAUUGUUUUCUCGGACCACAUGGUGGAAUUCGAGCCCCUCGAACCGAGCUGACAUCUUGAGGACAGCGUUGCGAUAAGCCACCAUUUUUGGAUCCUUGGCGUCAAAGUCUCCGUUUAUCUGAGAUAUUGCGAGGUUCGAGUCCCCCCGCACCUCCAGGCGUUGAAUUCCCAUGGAGACUGCCAUCCGGAGACCGUGUAACAGGGCCUCAUAUUCUGCCGCAUUGUUGGAGUCUGUGUAUAGUAUUUGGAGUACGUACUGGACUGUAUCUCCGGUGGGGGAUGUCAGGACCACACCAGCCCCCAGACCCGCCAGCAUUUUGGAGCCCUCGAAGUGCAUGAUCCAAUUGGAGUACGCGCCGUAUUCUUUAGGGAGUUCGACUUCUGUCCACUCGGCGACAAAAUCGGCCAGUACUUGCGACUUGAUGGCUCGCCGUGGUUUAUAUGUUAUGUCGAAUGGGAGGAGCUCGAUAGCCCAUUUAGCAAUCCGGCCCGUGGCAUCGCGGUUGUUUAUUAUGUCGUUGAGUGGUACUUCCGUGGCCACCGUAAUUGAACACUCUUGAAAGUAGUGUCGUAGUUUCCGGGAUGCCAUGAAUACCACGUAUGCUAUCUUUUGAUAAUGUGGGUACCAUGAUUUGCAUGGAGUGAGGACCGUGGAUACAUAGUAUACCGGAUUUUGAAGUGGGAAUUUAUGUCCGUCCAUCUCUCGUUCGACGACGAGCACUGCGCUUACAACUUGGUGAGUUGCCGCUAUAUAUAACAGCAUUGGUUCGCCGACAUUUGGCGCGGCCAAGAUUGGGUUGGUGGCGAAGAUGGCUUUUAUUUCUUCCAAUCCGGCCGUGGCCGCAUCCGUCCACGCAAAGUGUUUGGUGCGCCGAAGAAGGCGAUAAAGGGGCAGUGCCUUUUCUCCUAAUCGGGAGAUAAACUGGCUUAAGGCCGCCACACAUCCAGUUAGUUUCUGAAUUUGCUUGAGGUCUGUUGGGAUAGCCAACUGUGAUAGAGCUCGGAUUUUAGCCGGACUUGCUUCGAUUCCUCUACUGGAGACGAUGAAGCCCAGGAGCUUUCCGGCGGGCACGCCGAAAACGCAUUUUUCCGGAUUGAGCUUGAUGUCGUACGUACGCAGAUUGUCGAACGUGAGCCUCAAGUCAUCUAUUAAGGAUUCGACGUGUCCGGCCUUAACGACCACAUCGUCUACGUAUGCCUCCACUGUUUUGCCGAUCUGUUUUUCCAGGCAUGUCUGAAUCAUGCGUUGAUACGUUGCACCGGCGUUCUUAAGCCCGAAAGGCAUGGUGUUAAAACAGAAGGGGCCGUAUGGGGUGAUAAAUGCCGUUGCGGCUUGGUUGGACUCCGCAAUCUUGAUUUGAUGGUAUCCGAAGUAUGCGUCGAGGAAACACAAUGAGUCGUGUCCUGCAGUAGCGUCGAUAAUUUGAUCAAUGCGGGGGAGGGGGAAGGGAUCCUUGGGGCAAGCCUUGUUAAGGUCCUUGAAAUCGACACAUAGGCGUCAGGAUUUAUCCUUCUUUGGUACCAUCACCAGGUUUGCUAGCCAGUCUGGAUGUUUUAUUUCUCUAAUGAAUCCGGCCUCCAGUAACUUGGGUAGCUCCUCUCCCAUGGCUUGUCGCUUAGGUUCAGAGAAACGCCGAAGAGUCUACUUGACCGGCUUGAAUCCCUUUAGAAUGUUAAGGCUAUGCUCGGCCAGCCUGCGUGGGAUUCCUGGCAUGUCUGAAGGAUGCCAGGCGAAUAUGUCCCAAUUCUCGCGCAGGAACUCCCGUAGUGCGGCGUCUACAGCGGGGUUUAACUGUGCCCCGAUGGAUGCUGUUUUUGUAGGGUCCCUUGGGUGGACUUGGAAUUUGACUAUUUCAUCCGCUGGUUUAAAAGAGGUGGACUUGGAUCUUUUGUCGAGUAUCACGUCGUCCUUGUCCACUGUGGAGCGCAGCGCAGUUAAUUCCUCGGCCGCGAGGGCUUCGGAUAAUGCCUCGAGGGCCAGUGCGGCUGUUUUGUUUUCGCCGCGGAGUGCUAUGUCCGGAUCACUAGCUAGAGUGAUGAUUCCAUUGGGCCCGGGCAUUUUGAGCUUCAUGUACCCGUAAUGGGGUAUGGCUUGGAAGAUCGUGAAUGCCUCCCGCCCUAGAAGGGCGUGGUAUCUGCUACUGAACGGGGCCACUUGGAAUGUGAUUUCUUCGGACCUAUAAUUCUCCGCAUGCCGAAUACCACAUCUAGUGUGAUUUUCCCAGCGCAUCGUGCCUCCCGACUAGGGAUGAUUCCUCUGAAAGUCGUGCUGCUUUCCUCAAUGCGGUUUCUGUCUGUUUCCAUUUUUUGAAGAGUCUCCUCAUAGAUGAGGUUUAAUCCACUGCCGCCGUCCAUGAGCACUUUAGUAAGCCGAAAGCCGUCCACAAUUGGACUAAGGACCAAGGCGGCUGGUGCUCGGGCUGUUCGGAAUUUAGGUUCGUCACUGGCAUUGAAGGUGAUAGCCGUGUCGCUCCAUGGAUUUAUUGCUGCCACGUGGCAGACUUCGGCAAGGCUGCGGAGUGCUCUCUUACGCCUAUUAUUUGAGGCGAAGGUCUCGAAGACUGUCAAUACUGUAUUGUUGUUAUCCACGGGAUGGUGCUCUGCGGUAUUUUUAAUGAGGAGAUCCUCACCGCUCUUGGCCACCUGCCGGAGUACCCAACAUGCUCUAAGGCUGUGUGUUGGUAUGGUAUCCGCUGUACUGUGAAUUUUGCAUGGCCCAUUAAGCCAUCCCUCCAAUACGGCUCCACACCCUAUAGUGGGCUUUUGCUUCUUUGUAAUUGAGUCGGGCGACUUAUGAGAGUGCACCCUUUUAGUUCGGACUGGGGGUUUUCUCAGAGCCGGAUUAUCCCAAAAUUUUGUUUGGGUUUUCCAGGCGCUUUCCAUCGCACAGUACUUCCAUACUAUGGCCGCCAAGUCAGCGAAGUGUGCUAUGUCACGGCGACUUAUGGCGUUCAGGAUUCCGUUGUCUGUGCAAUUAUUGCAAAAGAAUGAAAUUGCGUCUUCCUCGCGACAGUCCUUGACCUUGUUCAUUACAAGGAGGAAUCUGGCCCAAUAGUGAUGUCUCCUGGGGCUCUUGCCUAAUGUGGGAAAGAUCGUUUAUAUCUGGGUGGGUGGGUGGAUUUAAGUCCGGACCUUGACCCAAUCUGAGACCCAGGGGCGGAGGAGUUUCCGAUCUUGGAAGUUCGGGCUCCGGGAUGUUGCCUAGUAGGUCUGGCCCGCUGCCUGAUUCUAGGUUCAGGGUUUGGGUGAUGUCCUCCCGUAGACGGGUAUCCGUCUCAGAGAGCUUGGGAAUCCAGACAUAGUUUGUCCUCAAGAUAGAGGAAGAAUCACCGCAUUGCUCCUCCACCACCGCUAUCUGAUGGGUGACCGGCGGGGAGUUAAUGUCCCUUUGGUCGGGUUUAAGCCCGAUCUGAUCAUAGUCUGUAGCGACUCCCAAAGAGGCGAUGCGAUCCAAGAGCUCGUUCAAAGAAGAGAUCUCUAUUGGAUCCAACUGCUCGGCGAGUCCCGAGCUGACGGGAGGCUGUUUUUGAUGACCCGGGAAGUCAUCGUCGGCGCAGCGGCCGAACAGGCGGUCAUGACGAAACCGCCUAGUCGGAGAGUUUGCCCUACAGCCAGGGCUCCCCCAGAGGUGAUGUUGUCCUUGACAACAAGGCGAGCCAUCCAGCCUUAUGAUGACGGCACAGUGGAACUCUCAAUGAAAGCACCAAUGUCGGUGUCAAUACCGGCGGAUCUCGGGUAGGGGGUCCUGAACUGUGCGUCUAAGGCGGAUGGUAACAGGAGGCGGGGGACACGAUGUUUACCCAGGUUCGGGCCCUCUCGACGGAGGUAAUACCCUACUUCCUGCUUGAUUGAUCUUGAUGAUAUGAGUAUUACAAGAUUUGAUCUACCACGAGAUCAUAGAGGCUAGAACCCUAGAAGCUAGCCUAUGGUAUGAUUGUUGUUGUCCUACGGACUAAACCCUCCGGUUUAUAUAGACACCGGAGGGGGCUAGGGUUACACAGAGUCGGUUACAAGGGAGGAGAUCUACAUAUCUGUAUUGCCAAGCUUGCCUUCCACGCCCAGGAGAGUCCUAUUCGGACACGGGUCGAAGUCUUCAAUAGUCCAACAGUCCAGCCAAAGGAUAUAAUCCGGCUGUCCGAGGACCCCCUAAUCCAGGACUCCCUCAACUGGGCAUCCCGGUGACCAGCCAUUUUCUCGUGAGUGAGGAGUGGAGUCCACUCCUCUUGAGAAUAACCCGCCUAACAUGGAAGAUACGGACAACCCUAGUUGAUACAUGAGUUAUUCGAGCAUACAAAACAGAAUUUCAUUUGAAGGUUUAGAGUUUGGCACAUACAAAUUUACUUGGAACGACAGGUAGAUACCGCAUAUAGGAAGGUAUAGUGGACUCAUAUGGAAUAACUUUGGGGUUUAAGGGAUCGGAUGCACAAGCAGUAUUCCCGCUUAGUACAAGUGAAGGCUAGAAAAAGACUAGGAAGCGAUCAACUAGAGAGCGGCAACAGUCAUGAACAUGCAUUAAAAUUAAUAAACAUUGAGUGCAAGCAUGAGUAGGAUAUAAUCCACCAUGAACAUAAAUAUCAUGAAGGCUAUGUUGAUUUUGUUUCAACUACAUGUGUGAACAUGUGCCAAGUCAAGUCACUCGAAUCAUUCAAAGGAGGAUACCACCCUAUCAUACCACAUCACAACCAUUUUAAUAGCAUGUUGGCACGCAAGGUAAACCAUUAUAAACUCCUAGCUAAUUAAGCAUGGCAUAAGUAACUAUAAUCUCUAAUUGUUGUUGCAAACAUGUUUAUUCAUAAUAGGCUGAAUAAGGAAUGAUGAACUAAUCAUAUUUACUAAAACAAAAGAGGUCGAGUUCAUACCAGCUUCUCUCAUCUCAAUCAGUCCAUCAUAUAUCGUCAUAAUUGCCUUUCACUUGCACGACCGAACGAUGUGAAUAAUAAUAAUAAUAGUGCACGUGCAUUGGACUAAGCUGGAAUCUGCAAGCAUUCAAUAAACAAGAGAAGACAAGUUAAUAUGGGCUCUUGGUUAAAUCAACAAUCAUGCAUGUAAGAGCCACUUCAACAAUUUAAUCAUGGUCUUCUCCUAUCGACCCCCAAAGAAAAGAAAAGAAAUAAAACUAUUUACACGGGAAAGCUCCCAACAAGCAAAAGAAGAAUAGGAAAUAUUUUUGGGUUUUCUUUUUAAUUACUACUACUACAAUCAAGAAAGUAAACUAGCUAAAUGCUACAACUAAUUUUUUCUGGUUUUCUUAAGAUUUUUCAAACACACAAGAAGAAAACAGGAAAAAGAAAAUAAACUAGCAUGGAUAUUACAGUGAAAGAGUAUGAGCACCGACAUCUAGCAAUGAGUGUGUAAACAUAAACAUAAUGUCGGUGAGAGAUACGUACUCCCCCAGGCUUUGGCUUUUGGCCUAAGUUGGUCUAUUGCCACGGCUGGCCUGGCGGAUAUCCAAAGCUGUAGCUGGGGUCGUACUGAGAUGCAGCAGUCAUUGCAUUGUGGGCUGCAGCUUGGAGGCGAGCUAUCUCAGCCCUCCUCUUGUACUCGUUCGCCUCCUCCCUGUUUAUGAAAUAUCUCCCCUUUGCCUGAAGGUCAAAGAAAGUAGAAGCAGGGAGAGCGACGUGAUAGGUACAUCGUCUGUCAAAGAUUAGUCGGUACUGGAGGAACUGAUCGUUCCUCUCAACAAAACGAUGACGAACCAUAGCCUCAUAAUCUAAAUAAGUAGGAGGCAACUCGAUAUCAUCCUCACGUAUGGUUACACCAAGAAAAUUACCUAAACGGGUUGCAUAAAUCCCACCAAAGAAAUCUCCAUUAAAUAUAUUAUUAUGCAACCUACGUGCAACAAUGGCUCCCAAAUUAUAAUGUUUAUCUCCUAACACAGCACUCCUGAGAACACUGAGGUCAGGGACACACAUGUGACAUGCUUCAUCCUUACCAUUUAUGCACCUACCUAUGAAGAGAGCAAAAUAAUGUAUAGCAGGAAAAUGAAUGCUCCCUAUGGUAGCUUGUGCUAUGUCUCUAGAUUCCCCCACAGUUAUGCUAGCAAGAAAAUCUCUAAACUCAGAUUUGCGAGGCUCACUAGUACUACCCCAUUGUGGAAGUUUGCAAGUAGUGGUAAAAUCCUCUAAGUCCAUAGUAUAAGAAUUUUCAUAAAGAUCAAACAGGACAGUUUGAGAAUUACGUGAAGAUGAAAAUUCAAACCUCCUCACAAAGGAACUAGUGAGAUAGUGGUACUGACGACACUUAUCUGCCUCGAAGCUCACAAGAUCAGCGUUACGCACAUAUGCGUUAAAUUCUUCCUUGAUUCCUGCUUGAUCCAUGAAGUCCUCUGAAGGCCAUUCACAAGCCCGCACUGGAGCGUCCCUUGGUGGUUCAUCAUCAGCAUCGUGCAUUGCAAGCCUGGGUCCUUGCUUCCUUGAAGGGCCACCUUGGUACAUUUUCCUAAACAUAUUUCUUCCUCUGAAAAAUUUCUGAAAAUUUUAGUAACUUCAAAAUAAAAGUGAACCAAGCUCAACAAAUUUGGUAGCAACUACUCCCACAAGUGCCUAGAGACUAUAUCAUGCAUUAGAACUAGUUGGAACCAUAUAAAUUUGACAUGCAAGCUCAAGAACAUGGUCACCUAGGCAGCACAAAUUUGCAAUGAAUAAAGCACUAGAACAAAAACUAAUUGGACCAUUGGAGGAGUCACAUACCAAGGAACAAUCCACCAAAGCAGUUUUGUGAGAGGUGCUUUGAGCAAGGAGAUCGAAAAUCACAGCAAAAUGAGCUAGAACUCGUGCUUGAGCUGGUUGGUGAUUUUUUUGGGAGGAAGAAGGAGUGUGUGAGUGCAGGAAUAAGUGGAGGGGAGCCAUCAUGGGCCCAUGAGGCAGGGGGGCACGCCCUGGACCCUCGUGCCCAGGUGAUUGCUCCCCCUGCUGUGUUCUCAGUGCCAAAUAUUCUCAAAUAUUUCAGAAAAAAUCAUAUUAAAUUGGCAGGGCAUUUGGAGAACUUUUAUUUUCGGGGUAUUUUUAUAUUGCACGGAUAAUUCAGAAAACUGACAGAAAAUACCAUUUUUGCUUUAUUUCAACUAAAUAACAGAAAGUAAAAGAAGGGUACAGAAGGUUAUGCUUUCUAACUUCAUCCAUCUCAUGCUCAUCAAAAGGAAUCCACUAACAAGGUUGAUCAAGUCUUGUUAACAAACUCAUUUCGAGUAACAUGAAACCGGAGAAAUUUCGAAUAACACUAUGUUACCUCAACGGGGAUAUGCACGUCCCCAAUAAUAAGAAUAUCAUAUUUCUUCUUGACAGUAGGAAGAGGAAAUUCAAAACCUCCAAUAAUAAUUGAUGGAAUUUUUCCAAUAGAAUUGAUACUGUGAACUUGAGGUUGUUUCCUCGGAAAGUGUACCGUAUGCUCAUUACCAUUAACAUGAAAAGUGACAUUGCCUUUGUUGCAAUCAAUAACAGCCCCUGCAGUAUUCAGAAAGGGUCUUCCAAGAAUAAUAGACAUACUAUUGUCCUCGGGAAUAUCAAGAAUAACAAAGUCCGUUAAAAUAGUAAUAUUUGCAACCACAAUAGGCACAUCCUCACAAAUGCCGAUAGGUAUAGCAGUUGAUUUAUCAGCCAUUUGCAGAGAUAUUUCAGUAGGUGUCAACUUAUUCAUAUCAAGUCUACGAUAUAAAGAGAGAGAGACAUAACACUAACACCGGCUCCAAGAUCACAUAAAGCAGUUUUAGCUUAGUUUCUUUUAAUGGAGCAUGGUAUAGUUGGUACUCCUGGAUCUCCUAGUUUCUUAGGUAUUCCACCCUUGAAAGUGUAAUUAGCAAGCAUGGUGGAAAUUUCAGCUUCCGGUAUCUUUCUUUUAUUUGUAACAAUUUCUUUCAUAUACUUAGGAUAAGGAUUCAUUUUGAGCAUAUCAGUUAAUCGCAUACGCAAAAAGAUAGGUCUAAUCAUUUCAGCAAAGCGCUCAAAAUCCUCGUCAUCCUUUUUCUUGGAUGGUUUGGGAGGAAAAGGCAUGGGUUUCUGAACCCAUGGUUCCCUUUCUUUACCGUGUUUCCUAGCAACAAAGUCUCUCUUAUCAUAACGUUGAUUCGUUGAUUGUGGGUUAUCAAGAUCAACCACAGGUUCAAUUUCCACAUCAUUAUCAUUGCUAGGUUGAGCAUCAACAUGAACAUCAUCAUUAACAUUAUCACUAGGUUCAUGUUCAUCACCAGAUUGUGUUUCAGCAUCAGAAAUAGAAAUAUCAUUUGGAUUCUUGGGUGGUUCAGCAAUAGGUUCACUAGAAGCAUGCAAAGUCCUAUCAUUUUUCUUUUUCUUCUUUUUAGAAGGACUAGGUGCAUCUACAUCAUUUCUCCGAGAAUCUUGCUCAAUUCUCUUAGGAUGGCCUUCAGGAUACAAAGGUUCCUGAGUCAUUUUACCAGUUCUAGUAGCCACUCUAACAGCAUAGUCAUUAAUUUUACUAUUCAAUUCAUUGAGCAAAUCAUUUUGAGCUUUAAGUACUUGUUCUACUUGAGUGGUAACCAUAGAAGCAUGUUUACUAAUGAGUUUAAGUUCACCUUUAACUCUAGACAUAUAAUCACUCAAGUCUUCAAUCAUAUAAGCAUUGUGUUUUAAUUGUCUACCAAAAUAAGCAUUAAAAUCUUCUUGCUUAACCAUAAAGUUAUCAAACUCAUCUAAGCAUUGGCUAGCAGACUUAUAACGAGGAAUAUCACCUUCAUCAAAUCUAUAGAGAGAAUUUACCUUUACUACCUGUGUCGGGUUAUCAAGACCAUGUGUUUCUUCAAUAGGUAAUGAAUUAAGACCAUGUAUUUCUUCAACAUGCGGUAAAUUAAGACCAUGUAUUUCUUCAACAGGAGGUAAAUUCUUAACAUCUUUAGCUUUUAUACCUUUUUCUUUCAUAGAUUUCCUUGCCUCUUGCAUAUCUUCAGGACUGAGAAAUAGUACACCCCUUUUCUUCGGAGUUGGCUUAGGAGUUGGUUCAGGAAGUGUCCAAUUAUUUUCAUUUGUCAACAUAUUAUUCAAUAGAAUUUUAGCUUCAUCUGGUGUUCUUUCCCUGAAAACAGAACCAGCACAACUAUCCAGGUGGUCUCUGGAAGCAUCGGUUAGUCCAUUAUAAAAGAUAUCAAGUAUUUCAUUUUUCUUGAGAGGAUGAUCAGGAAAAGCAUUAAGUAAUUGGAGAAGCCUCCCCCAAGCUUGUGGGAGACUCUCUUCUUCAAUUUGCACAAAAUUAUAUAUUUCCCUUAAAGCAGCUUGUUUCUUAUGAGCAGGUAAAUGUUUAGCAGAGAAAUAAUAAAUCAUAUCCUGGGGACUACGCACACAACCAGGAUCAAGAGAAUUAAACCAUAUCUUAGCAUCACCCUUUAAUGAGAAUGGAAAUAUCUUAAGGAUAUAAUAGUAGCGAGUUUUCUCAUCAUUAGUGAACAGGGUGGCUAUAUCAUUUAAUUUAGUAAGAUGUGACAUAACAGUUUCGGAUUCAUAGCCAUAGAAAGGAUCAGAUUCAACCAAAGUAAUUAUAUCAGAAUCAAUAGAGAAAUCAUAAUCCUUAUCAGUAACAAAGAUAGGUGAAGUAGCAUAAGCAGGAUCAUAUUUCAUUCUAGCAUUCAGAGUUUUUUGUUUAAGCUUAGCUAAUAAUUUCUUAAGAUCACUUCUAUCAUUGCAAGCAAGAAAGUCUCUAGCAGUUUCUUCAUCCAUAACAUAGCCCUCAGGCACAACAGGCAAUUCAUACUUAGGGGGAGAGUCUUCAUCAUCACUUUCAUCAAUAUUAUCAGUUUCAAUAAUUUCAUUCUCUCUAGCCCUAGCAAGUUGUUCAUCAAGAAAUUCACCAAGUGGCACAGUAGUAUCAAGCAUAGAAGUAGUUUCAUCAUAAGUAUCAUGCAUAGCAGAAGUGGCAUCAUCAAUAACAUGCGACAUAUCAGAAUUAAUAGCAGAAGCAGGUUUAGGUGUCGCAAGCUUACUCAAAACAGAAGGCGAAUCAAGUGCAGAGCUAGAUGGCAGUUCCUUACCUCCCCUCGUAGUUGAGGGAUAAAUUUUUGUUUUCGCGUCUUUCAAGUUCUUCAUAGUGACUAGCAGAUAUAAAUCCCAACUGAAUCAAAGAAUAGAGCUUUAUGCUCCCCGGCAACGGCACCAUAAAAUAGUCUUGAUAACCCACAAGUAUAGGGGAUCACAACAGUUUUCGAGGGUAGAGUAUUCAACCCAAAUUUAUUGAUUCGACACAAGGGGAGCCAAAGAAUAUCCUUAAGUAUUAGCAGUUGAGUUGUCAAUUCAACCACACCUGGAUAACUUAUUAUCUGCAGCAAAGUAUUUAGUAGCAAAGUAAUAUGGAAGUAACGGUAACGAUAGCAAAAGUAAUAUUUUUGGGUUUUAUAGUGAUUGUAACAGUAGCAACGGUAAAGUAAAUAAGUGAAGAACAAUAUGUGAAAAGCUCGUAGGCAUUGGAUCGGUGAUGGAGAAUUAUGCCGGAUGCGGUUCAUCAUGUAACAGUCAUAACAUUGGGUGACACAGAACUAGCUCCAAUUCAUCAAUGUAAUGUAGGCAUGUAUUCCGAAUAUAGUCAUACGUGCUUAUGGAAAAGAACUUGCAUGACAUCUUUUGUCCUACCAUCCCGUGGCAGCGGGGUCCUAACGGAAACUAAGGGAUAUUAAGGCCUCCUUUUAAUAGAGUACCGGACCAAAGCAUUAACACGUAGUGAAUAUGAACUCCUCAAACUAUGGUCAUCACCGGGAGUGGUCCCGAUUAUUGUCACUUCGGGGUUGCCGGAUCAUAACACAUAGUAGGUGACUAUAGACUUGCAAGAUAGGAUCAAGAACUCACAUAUAUUCAUGAAAACAUAAUAGGUUCAGAUCUGAAAUCAUGGCACUCGGGCCCUAGUGACAAGCAUUAACCAUAGCAAAGUCAUAGCAACAUCAAUCUCAGAACAUAGUGGAUACUAGGGAUCAAACCCUAACAAAACUAACUCGAUUACAUGAUAAAUAUCAUCCAACCUAUCACCGUCCAGCAAGCCUACGAUGGAAUUACUCACGCACAGCGGUGAGCAUCAUGAAAUUGGUGAUGGAGGAUGGUUGAUGAUGACGAUGACGACGGAUUCCCCUCUCCGGAGCCCCGAACGGACUCCAGAUCAGCCCUCCCGAGAGAGUUUAGGGCUUGGCGGCGGCUCCGUAUCGUAAAACUCGAUGAAUCUUUCUCUGAUUCUUUUCUCCCCGAACACGAAUAUAUGGAGUUGGAGUUGAGGUCGGUGGAGCUUCAGGGGGGCCACGAGGCAGGGGGGCGCGCCCAGGGGGGGCAGGCGCGCCCCCACCCUCAUGGCAAGGGUGUGGGCCCCCUGGCCUUGAUUCUUUUGCCAGUAUUUUUUAUUAUUUCCAAAAAUAAUCUCCGUGGAGUUUUAGGUCAUUCCGAGAACUUUUGUUUCUGCACAUAAAUAACACCAUGGCAAUUCUUUUGAAAACAGCGUCAGUCCGGGUUGGUUCCAUUCAAAUCAUGCAAGUUAGAGUCCAAAACAAGGGCAAAAGUGUUUGGAAAAGUAGAUACGACGGAGAUGUAUCAUGGUCUCGGAGGCGACGGCGCCAGUGGACGUGUCUUCUGGCGACUCCCGCAAGGGGGAGGAAGAGGAGGAGAGCGAGGAGCGCGACUCGGAGGCGACCACCGAAGGGAUGGGGGAGACCUCCCCCAUGCACAAGGCCGACAUCCUCUACACCUUGCCUCAUGACGACGACGAGGUCGAUGCCCUCCCGGAGAGAGGGGAGCCGCCCGCGGUUCCAACGAGGGCAGGUCGGCGCUGAUCUCCCGGGAUGACGCUCCUGCCCUGACGCCGCCUGGGGCUGCUUCUGGCCCAUCUGCCUCCCGUUCUUCCACUCUUGGCGCCCAUGUGUCUGCACCUCAGGCUGCGAGGCUCUCCGGCAUCAAGCUUACGAAGCAGAGGGACUACGCCGUGGUUGAGCAGUAAGUGUUCUUGUCCUGUUUUGUUCUUGCUUCUGAUGCUUGCCCUUGAUGCUUCUCCGUUGUGCAAUCAGGCCGACGCCUGCGGCGAAGAGGAGGAAGGAGGACGCGGCGGUGCUGCUCGGGACCAAGUCGCCUACGGUGGCCACACCCCUCCCCACGGACAAGGGCAACAAUGACGUUCGCGCUUCUUCGGCCCGAUCGUCCUCGCGAGGCCUGGCGGAGCAUCCCCGGGAGGAGUCAGCCCCCGUGGCCCCGUUGGCUCCGGAUGUGCCAAUGCCUGGCUCGGUCGCCGAGGUCGCGAAAGCUCAGGAGCCUCCGUCCUCCCAGGCCAUGGUGACGACUUUGCCUCCUCCCCCUUCUGCCGCACUGCUUCCUCCGGGCCCUUCGGCCUCCCUUGACAUUCUGGAGCGUGCUCUUUUUGCGAUGACCCUGCUGCGAGAAUAUCUGCAAGGCACCGACCGUCACUUGGCGGCCGGGCGCCUGGAGCUGGUCUCUGGCUGGCUUCAUUCCGAUAUGUCCGUCCGGGCGACGCUGAGCCAGGUUGCUGCGGACUCCGAGAAGGAUAGGGAGGCCGUCGCCCAAGCCACGGCCGCCCGCGAGGCGGCACUAAAGGAUGCCGAGGCCGCCAAGGACCGCUGCCAGUCACUGGAGGCCGAGCUAGAGACCGCGCGGAGGGAGCGCGCGAAGGAAGCCCGAGGCCGCAAGGCGGAGGAGGAGAAGAUGAAGGCCCGAGAGGACGCCGUCAGGGAUCGCGACGCCGACCUGGAUUAGUUGGCGAAGGCGCAGGCGAUGGAGCGCGGCCGGUUGGAGGAGCUGGAGCAGAAGCUGAAGGCGGAGAAGGCCGAGCUUGAAGCCAAGGCAAAGAUCCUGGCUGAGGACCGUGAGGCCUUCAAGCUCGUCGAGGUGAGGUCUCGGAUGACGCUGCAGUCACUCUACGAGAAGGGCUUGGAGGAGCCGUUGGCUGCCAGCAACGAGGGCCCCGCUGAGCUGCUUCCUUAUCUGGUUGAUGCGCUUGAGGACGUCGUGAGCGGUAUCGGCCCCAUGGCAGAGGAAGAGGCUCGCGUCCUUUCCUCAGCCGCGCUGACGCGCGUCUUCAGCCACCUCCAUCUUCGCGACCCUGCCACCCACCUUGACGAGCUGCUGGAGCUUGUGGAUGACGAACAUUGCACGACCGUUGCCGCAGCUGUGAAGGGUCAGGUGGAGGCCCUGCUGAAGAAGUUCCGCGCCUUCGCUCCCGCGCCCACGAUCGGCGGCGCUACUGAUCCUGCAACUCCGGCUAGUGGUACAGGUGGAGGCGAUACCGUUGAAGAAGAAGCAUCCCUCGCAGGCAACGGCGGUGUCCAGGGGUGAAGGGGUGUCUUGCUGGCGGCUCCUUUCCUGCUUAACUCCUACAACAUGUAUCGUGCCUCGUGGAGGCAUUUAAACUUGUGUUUGAUAUUGGAGAACAAUAUGUCUUGUAAUAUUUGCUUGAGAUUUUGUGAUUUCCUUCCCAUUUGCUUUACGUUCUACGUCGGCAGGGCCCGACCCCGCGCAUACCUCAGCCGCCGUUGGGUCGUCCGGAUCACUAGGACAGACCAAGGAGUGAGGGGCUACGUGGCCAGUUAGGCUCCUGAGUCGCGAUGCUCAGGAGCCCCCCUUGACGCGCAAACAACUUAUGGGAAGGAAAUGCGGGAAUAGGCCUAGUUUUAUACGUCGGCAGGGCCUGGGCCCGCGCAUACCUCAGCCGCCGUUGGGUCAUCUAGAUCACCAGGACGAGACCAAGGAGUGAGGUGCUACGUGACCAGUUAGGCUCCUGAGUCGCGAUGCUCAGGAGCCCCCUUGACGCUCAAACGACCUUCAUACCUUUGCCCUCGCCAAGGCUCGGCUCGGGAGGGGCGCAAGACGACCAGGUCCGGGGCACCUGGCAGGGUGGCGUACGCUUGGGCGUGACCCGAGCGCAGCCCCCGUGCCCAGCCCCCUCGCGCGACUCUCCCGAGGGGAGGUGUUGCAAUGAGGCCAUACACAGAGCUCAAGGGCUCCCUGAGGUUGAUACGAUCGUGAGGCUGCCCUCAGUUGUUUAUCACCAGCGCGGAGAAUAGCGCUUCCGCACUUGCACGGGCAUAGCCCCUCCUCGGCAGUGUCGACGGCCAGCGCGGAGCAUGGUGCUUCCAGUGGUACGUGGGAGGGGGUUCCCUACUGCGGAGAGCCCCCGGUGCGUGUACAGCCCCGCCCUGACACGUGGCUUGCACGAUAGGGCUAGACGAGGUGUGUCUGGGCACUCGUGAGCCAGCGCGGGACUCACGAGGCCCUACCUCAAGGCGGGUUGCGCCUGGUCUUGGUUCUUGAUGGCUGUAGUGGUCCUGCGAGAUGGUUAGACAACCUGCGCCGAACGAAUCUCCUGAGGUUAUCACGUGAGAAGGCCAAGCACCAACGACCCCAGGAGGUGACGUGAACGGGGCCAGCCCGCCAGACAGAGCUUAGUCGUUGGAUUUAUCGACGCUGCAGGGACGGGCCCGAGCGGCGAAGGGCCCUGAAGAAAGACGAUCCGCGCGCGACUCCCGUGGUGGGUGACAAUCAAGCAGGUGAUAACCAUAGAUAGAUUACGCAUGAAAAGCAGACUAGCUCAUGUAAAUGCAAGAAUGAUACACACCACUGGGUCGGACCCGAGCGGCUUGGGGAUGAUGCAGCCCGAGGGGCUCCCCCAAUAAGGUAAGCUAAAGACGUAAAAGGAUACAUGCCGCAGGACAGACCCACACGACCUGGGAAUGAUGCAGCUCGGGGGGGGGGCGCUCCUAGCUAAAUACACUUGGAAAAUGUCACCUGAUUCGGCCGACGAAGGGGUGUUGGGGCAGCUGAAGAUGCGUGGCGAAGGGGUUGCUCCUCACGAGCCACCGGGGCCCUAAGCCUCGGGAGGCUCUGGGGGUCCGGGCGGUUCCUUGAGGACCGUCUCCAUCUCCGUCAGGACUGCGUAAUGCCUGGCCUCCUGAGCCGCCAGGACGCUCCGCAGGUUGCGCUGGAAGGCGGCUGCCACGCUCGGCAUGCCAAAUGGCAUGCGAACAUAGCUGUGAGGUGGGCCCUCGCAGUGUCCCACGUGCGAAGGCCAGAAAAGCUCCUGAGAAGCGGCCCUGUUGAGCCCUGGGAUGUCAAUGCAGACGCGCAGCCCGCCAUCCUCGCCUGGAUGGGGAGCUGCGCCAGGUGAGCGGCGGUCGCCGCGCAUGGCUCUUCCAUCCUGCAGCUCCUGAGUGACCUUGGUGAUGAACUCCUGAGCGCCAGGCGCUCCUCGCCCGGUGUCCUCCUGAGGGAAACGUGCCGUGAAGCACGCCUCCACGUGGUGCCCGAGCGCCUCCCUCGUGAUGUGGGCUAGGUUUGAGGCCGUCCAGAAGAGAGCCCCCAAACCCUGCCUGAGGAGGGCGCCGGACGCGCCUUCCUAUGCGAGGGAGGGAGGUGCCCCAGGCGCGGGCGCCGAUUCUGAUGUUGUUCCGUCAGAGGCACCGCUCCCCCUAGGCCCAGUGUGGAGUAGCUUAUUCUUCUUCUUGGGGACGACCUCAGGAGGGUAUAGGGUGCCUUGGUCAUCGGGGUCUUCGAUCGACGCAGCUUGGAAGGCGCGCUCGAGGGAGCACGCCACAUCUAUUUCUUCACAGGGGACGGUGAUGAUCCCGCCGCCUCCUGGCAUAUUGAGGACAUUGUAGCCGUGAUGUGUCACCGCCAUGAACUUGGCUAGGGCCGGAUACCCGAGGAUGGCAUUGUACAGCAGACGGAUGUGAGCAACGUCGAAGUCGAUGAGCUCGGUGCGGUAGUUGUUGUGCUGUCCGAAGGUGACAGGGAGGCGGACCUGCCCUAUCAGGGUGGUAGAGUCGUCGGUCACUCCUGAGAAAGGCUUGGUAGGCUGAAGCUGAUCGUAUGGCACUUGGAGGCUGUCGAACGUCUCGACGGGCAGGAUGUUAAGCCCCGCGCCGCCGUCGAUGAGGGUCUUGGUGACUUGUACGUUGCUGAUGACGGGUGAGCAGAGCAUCAGGAGGGCGCCAGCGGUGGCCGCGCACUUGAGUUGGUCAGCUGAGCUGAAAGUGAUGGCGCACUUGGACCACCUGAGCGGGCGUGUGGCCUCGAGCCUGGGAAGGGCUGCGUUCACUUCACGAGCAAAGUGCUUGAAGAUGCGUUGAGAGGCUGGGGCUUGAGCUCCGCCCAAGAUGCAGGCGAUGGCGCACGGUUCCUGGAAGCCCCCAGCCCACUCGUCCUGAUGGUGGUCAUCGUUCCUCCUUGGCGGUGGCGGAAGCGGAGGAAGGCCAGCAUUGCCCUAAGGGCGAUCUUCACGAGGCUGGUCCCUCCAUGCGCCCUCGCGAGGUCGGUCGCGCCACUCCUAGCGAGGGCCGCGGUCGUCCCAGCGUCCUCCGCCUCGUCCUCCUCCUCGGCCAUAGCCCUGGUCGUUGUGCUCGGGGCGUCGACCGAGGCGUCCAUCUCGAAUGGCCCUGAGCUCUUGAUAGUCAUUGGUGUUGUGGCUGUGUACAUUGUGGAAGGCACAUAACGGCCGGCUACUAUUGGAUGACUCGGGAAGGUCCCGGCCGCGCUUCGUGUCUGGCUCCGCUGUGAGCACGGCUACUCCCUUGCGCUUCACGUCCUUGGCCUUGGCCUUCUUCUCCUCUGGGUCGGCAGCUGGGAGCUCGAGGAGGGAAAGGCGCCCCUCCUCAGCUCUCGCGCACUUGGUCGCCAGGUUGAACAGCUCCAAGGUCGUGCAUAGCUCCUCGUGGAUGGCGAGCUCCUCCUUCAUCUUGACGUCGCGGACGCCAUCCGAAAACGCAGAGAUGAUGGCCUCAUCCGUCACCUUGGGGAUCUUGAGACGAACGUUGUUGAAGUGCUGGAUGUACUUCUGGAGGGUCUCCCCUGGCUGCUGCUUGAUACAGCGCAGGUCACCCGCGGCCGGCGGGCGGUCGCAAAUGCCCUGGAAGUUGGCGACGAAGCGGUCACGCAUCUCGUUCCAGGAGGAGAUCGAGCCGGGAGGCAGGUUCAGGAGCCACGAGCGAGCGCCAUCCUUGAGAGCCAUGGGGAACCAGUUUGCCAUGACUUUUUCGUCGCCGUUGGCCGCCUUGAUGCUCAGCUCGUAGAGCUGCAGGUGCCGUCGCAGCGAGGAGGCAGGUCCGGCUUGAACUUGCCCGGCUAGGCGACGCUACGUAGCUCGGGAGUGAAGGCGCGGCAGCCAGUGGUGGUCACCGGGGGUCUUUGCCGAUGUGGAGCCUGCCCUUGGUGCCCGCGCACCCCGCCGUAGGUGGCACACGAUCUUGUUGCAGUGGCGCUGGGAGCGCGGGCGCGUUCUCUUGUGGCCGGGGAACUUCUUGACAGCUUCCUUCUUCUCGCGCGGGCGCCCGACGCGGUGGGUCACGCCGGGGGGCCGCGUGCCUUGGUGGCAGGGCGCCGUCUUGGUGCAGGGGUGGUGGAGGCGCUCCGUGAGCCACGUCACCCGCAGCUGCGGAGGGCGAGGGAGCGAGAGGGAUGGCACAGGGGAGCCCCCUGCGGCGUUGACGAGCUCGGCGAUGCGGUCCAGCCAGUCCUCGUAGAGGUCGUCGACUGGGCGGUAGCGCAGGAGCUCGCGUGCCAUGAGCAGCGCGGCCUGCGCGUCCGUGGGAGCGCGACGAGCGUGAGACGACGAGACGGCCGGGGUCAGCAAUGGAGUGGCGGUGCGGCCAUCCCGUCGCACCGAGGGGUGCAGCGAGGACGCUUGCUGCUCGUUCCCCGCUGGGCCGGUGGCGGCGUUGGCGGUGGGUGACGGAGAAUGACGGGGAGGCCCGCCGACGGGAGCUGUCUGAGCGAUGCGGGCGGCGAGGGCGACCCGACGCUCAGUGCAGGCUCGGCGAGCGUCCGCCAUGGAUGCGGCGAAGCGACGGGACGCGGAUCGAUGGAGGAAAGCUUUGGGGCACCCCUACUUGGCGCGCCAAAUGUCAGAUUUCGGGUUCCGGCAAAACCCUUGAGGUUCGAACACUGGGGUGCGCACGGAUAUCUCUCCCUACCUAGAUCGCCCUCACCAGAUCGCAAGGCCUAGCUCGACGAACCCACAGAAAGAGAGACACAAGAGUUUAUACUGGUUCGGGCCACCGAUGUGGUGUAAUACCCUACUCCAAUGUGGUGUGGUGGAUUGCCUCUUGGGCUGAGGAUGAACAGUUACAAGGGAAGAACAACUUCCUGAGGAGAGGUGUUCUUGUGCUUGGUGGUGGCUCUAUUCGGGAUGAGAUCCAGAUUAGGAUGAGCUCGAGUUGCCUCUUACUGUGGUGGCUAGUCCUAUUUAUAGAGGCUCUGGUCCUCUCCCCAAAUAUUGAGCGGGAAGGGAUCCAACAACGGCCAAAUUCGAAGGGAGACAACUAGUACAAGUUAUCCUGACUAAAGGUGGUCUUCUCCUGCCAAAGGCUCUGGUGGUGACGCCGUCUUGGGCUCCACGAUGACCUCCGUCUUGCCGUCCUGCUGGUCUUGGUCUCGUUGCACUGAUAUGGAAACCUUUGCCUGAUGCCUCGGGACUCCUCGCCUGCGCUUGCCCCUUUAACACCAAAGAGGAAACGAGGAUACUGCGCGCGCUAGCGCCUGCCUGGCUUCGGUCGUCAUGGCUUGCGUCACAGGAACCUCGCGAGGUGUCCUUUGCCUUGAUCUCUCCGCCCCUCGCCAGCCAGCCUGGUGAGGCAGCCCCCGAGGAGGUCUUGUGUCGUCUGCCUCGCGAGGCUUGGCCCCUCGCGAGGGUAUUGAGUGUUUGUUGGUGAAGAUGGGCCGUACAGGGCCGCUGGUGGAGCCACGCAGUGGGCCGCAGGCAGGCAAGUCUGGGGACCCCCAUUCCCAGGACGCCGACAACUGUCUAGUUGAACAGUUUGUAUAAAUUAAGAAUGACUGCUUAAUCUAUGAAUGAAAUAUAUGCUUAAUUAGUGAAUUUUAGUUGCAAAAAUUAGAUAGUGCUAGUGAUUUCUAGCUGCGUAUUUUGACAAAUCGAUGUGUUACAAGGAUUGACAAAUGGCAACAUUACUAGAUCAACAAAUGUAAAUCUUUCCAGUUUGACAAAUGGCAACAUACCCAAUAUGACAGAUGCAAAUCUUACCAUUUUUUUUGUACGUGGUUGCACACGGGUCAUACAAAACAACCGUUUGCGUUGAAGGGAUGCACAAAUCCUGCGCUACUGAUUUUCCAUUGACUUAAGGGGAAGACCAUAGCUCUCACUUUGCAUACGGGUGUUCUAUCUAAAACGUUUGCGAUCAAGAGCUGCACAAAUCCCGCUCGGCAUAUUUUCCCUCGGCUUCCUGGGGAAGCUGUCGGUUUGCAUAUGGGUGUUCUAACUAAAACAUUUGCGAUGAGUGUUUUAUAUUUAAAAACCGAAUUAAACUAUGUCUUGGGCGCCAUUAAUGGAGAGGUUGCGAGCAAGGUGGGCGGCCAUGGAAGUCAAAGGGCUCGCUUCCCGAUGAGCCUGCGCGGCGUAUAGCUCGCACGCUUCCCGUUGAGCCUCCGCAUUGGAGUACAGCUCUCACACCUUCCGUUUAGUCAAGCACUCAAGCACCUGUCCGCAUGGCACCUCCUAGCCAUUAAAAGAGUGAGGCGUGGCGUCACGUGAAUGGUUAACAGAACGCACACAAUUUAAAUUAUACAAAAUGUUUGAGAUGUUAUAGUGGCAGCUAUUUGUUUCAAAAUGCCUUUGUUGGCUGUUAUUCGAGUGCGCCUUCUCUCAAAAUGGACACGAAAAAUACCACAGCAUGUCGGGUGCCAUUCCAUUAUAGCAUGCCAAGUUUCAUGAACUUCAGACGAGUUUUGGAUUUACUAGAAUUUAAAAACAAAGUAUCUAAACGUUUUGCCGGCAAUCAAUAGUGCCCUGGUGUUUGAAAUUCAUUCCCAUUUCUUUCAUGGGACCUAAGCAUGCCCCGAAGGACACAGAUUUGAUUUUGCAACCAAUUUAUAUGCACUGGAGCUUGUGCAUGUAGUUCAAAUUUGAAUUAUGCACAUGAAAUGCCUAGAAAACCCAGUUAAUGUAUAAAUGUCCAAAUGAACCCCGGAAAAUUCCAAAAGUAAACACAACACUCAUGUUGUUCUAUGUUGACACUAGAAAUUUUUUGAAAGCAAUAAGAGGCAACGGAUGUCGUUUCGUCCCCAAAGGUGUCACGUUCCCUAUCGAAACCAUCACGCUUGUUGUGAGAAGCUAAGGUUUGUAAGAAGCUUAUACCUAAACCUGCCCCAAAUGGGACAUUUUUUUACCACGGCAUGUUGAUGCUGCUCCAUGAUAGAAUGCCAAGUUUCAUGAAUUUUAGACGAGUUUUGGAUUUACUAGAAUUUAAAAGCCAUGUAUCUCAAUGUUUGCGGCCGAGUGGCGGUGGCAGGGUGUUUGAAAUUCCUUCCCAUUUCUUGCAUGGGACCUAAGCAUGCAAACAAGGACACACAUUUGAUUUUUCAACAAGUUUAUAUGCACUGGAGAAUCUGCAUGUAGUUCAAAUUUGAAUUAUGCGCAUAAAAUGCGUGGGAAACCCAGUUAAUGUAUAAAAAUGUCCAAACGAACCCCGAAAAAUUCCAAAAUUGAACACAACACUCCUAUUGUUCUAUGUUGACAAUCGAAUUUUUUUGAAAGCAAUAAGAGGCAACGGAUAUUGAUACGUCUCCAACGUAUCUACUUUUCCAAACACUUUUGUCCUUGUUUUGGACUCUAACUUGCAUGAUUUGAAUGGAACUAACCCGGACUGACGAUGUUUUCAGCAGAAUUGCCAUGGUGUUAUUUUUGUGCAGAAAUAAAAGUUCUCGGAAUGACCUGAAACUUCACAGAGAAUAUUUUUGGAAUUAAUAAAAAAUAUUGGCGAAAGAAUCAACGCCAGGGGGCCCACACCCUGUCCACGAGGGUGGGGGGCGCGCCCCCUGCCUCGUGGGCCCCCUAAGGUUCCACCGACCUCAACUCCAACUCUAUAUAUUCAUGUUCGGGGAGAAAAAAAAUCAGAGAGAAGGAUUCAUCGCGUUUUAUGAUACGGAGCCGCCGCCAAGCCCUAAUCUCUCUCGGGAGGGCUGAUCUGGAGUCCGUUCGGGGCUCCGGAGAGGGGAAUCCGUCGCCAUCGUCAUCAUCAACCUUCCUCCAUCACCAAUUUCAUGAUGCUCACUGCCGUGCGUGAGUAACUCCAUAGUAGGCUUGCUGGACGGUGAUGGGUUGGAUGAAAUUUACCAUGUAAUCGAGUUAGUUUUGUUAGGGUUUGAUCCCUAGUAUCCAUUAUGUUCUGAGAUUUAUGUUGCUAUGACUUUGCUAUGCUUAAUGCUUGUCACUAGGGCCCGAGUGCCAUGAUUUCAGAUCUGAACCUAUUAUGUUUUCAUGAAUAUAUGUGAGUUCUUGAUCCUAUCUUGCAAGUUAAUAGUCACCUACUAUGUGUUAUGAUCCGGCAACCCCGAAGUGACAAUAAUCGGACCACUCCCGGUGAUGACCGUAGUUUGAGGAGUUCAUGUAUUCACUAAGUGUUAAUGCUUUGGUCCGGUACUCUAUUAAAAGGAGGCCUUAAUAUCCCUUAGUUUCCAAUAGGACCCCGCUGCCACGGGAGGGUGGGACAAAAGAUGUCAUGCAAGUUCUUUUCCAUAAGCACGUAUGACUAUAUUCGGAAUACAUGCCUAUUACAUUGAUGAACUGGAGCUAGUUCUGUGUCACCCUAUGUCACAACUGUUGCAUGAGGAUCACAUCCGACAUAAUUAUCCAUCACUGAUCCAAUGCCUACGAGCUUUUCGCAUAUUGAUCUUUGCUUAGUUACUUUACCGUUGCCACUGUUACAAUUACUACAAAACUGCUAGUGUUACUUUUGCCACCGUUACCGUUACUUCCAUACUACUUUGCUACUAAAUACUUUGCUGUAGAUAUUAAGUCUUACAGGUGUGCUUGAAUUGACAACUCAACUGCUAAUACUUGAAAAUAAUCUCUGGCUCCCCUUGUGUCGAAUCAAUAAAUUUGGGUUGAAUACUCUACCCUCUAAAACUGUUGCGAUCCCCUAUACUUGUGGGUUAUCAAGACUAUUUUCUGGCACCGUUGCCGGGGAGCAUAGCCCUAUUCUUUGAGUCACUUGGGAUUUAUAUCUUUUGAUCACUAUGAGGAACUUGAAAGACGAAAUAACCAAGAUUUAUCCCUCAACUAUGAGGGGAGGUAAGGAACUGCCAUCUAGCUCUGCACUUGAUUCACCUUCUGCUAUGAGUAAAUUUACGACACCUACACCUGCUAUUGAUUCUGAUAUGUUGCAUGUUAUUGAUGAUGCCACUUCUGCUAUGCAUGAUGCUUAUGAUGAAACUACUUCUAUGCUUGAUAAUACUGUGCCACUAGGUGAAUUUCUUGAUGAACAACUUGCUAGGGUUAGAGAGAAUGAAAUUAUUGGAACUGAUAAUAUUGAUGAAAGUGAUGAUGAAGAUUCUCCCCCUAGAUAUGAAUUGCCUGAUGUGCCUGAGGGUUAUGUUAUGGAUGAAGAAACUGCUAGAGACUUUUUUGCUUGCAAAGAUAGAUAUGAUCUUAAGAAACUGUUAGUUAAGCUGAAAGAGAAGUCUUCGAAUGCUAGAAUGAAAUAUGACCCUGCUUUUGCUACUUCACCUAUCUGUAUUUCUGAUAAGGAUUAUGAUUUCUCUGUUGAUCCUGAGUUAAUUACUUUGGUUGAAUCUGAUCUUUUUUUUGGCUAUGAAUCUGAAACUGUUGUGGCACAUCUUACUAAAUUGAAUGAUAUAGCCACCCUAUUCACCACUGAGGAAAAAAUUCGUUACUACUAUAUCCUUAUGUUAUUUCCGUUCUCAUUAAAGGGUGAUGCUAAAAUAUGGUUUAAUUCUCUUACUCCUGGUUGUGUGCGUAGUCCCCAGGAUAUGAUUUAUUACUUCUCUACUAAAUAUUUCCCCGCUCUUAAGAAACAAGCUGCCUUAAGGGAAAUAUAUAAUUUUGUGCAAAUUGAAGAAGAGAGUCUCCCACAAGCUUGGGGGAGGCUUCUUCGGUUAGUUAAUGCUUUGCCUGAUCAUCCUCGCAAGAAAAAUGAAAUACUUGAUAUCUUUUAUAAUGGACUAACCGAUGCUUCCAGAGACCAGCUGGAUAGUUGUGCUGGUUGUGUUUUCAGGGAAAGAACUGUUGAUCAAGCUGAAUUGCUAUUGAACAAUAUGUUGAGUAAUAAUAAUAAUUGGACACUUCCUGAACAAACUCCUAAGCCAACUCCAAAGAAAAGGGGUAUUCUAUUUCUCAGUCUUGAAGAUAUGCAAGAGGCAAAGAAAUCUAUGAAAGAAAAGGGUAUUAAAGCUAAAGAUGUUAAGAAUUUACCACCUAUUGAAGAAAUACAUGGUCUUACUAACCCGACACGGGUAGUAAAGGUAAAUUCUCUCUAUAGAUUUGAUAAAGGUGAUAUUCCUUGUUAUAAGUCUGCUAGUCAAUGCUUAGAUGAGUUUGAUAAUUUUAUUGUUAAACAAGAAAACUUCAAUGCUUAUGUUAGUAGACAUUUGAAACGAAAUGCUUAUAUGAUUGAACACUUGAGUGAUUAUAUGUCUAGCGUUAAAGGUGAACUUAAACUUAUUAGUAAACAUGCUUCUAUGGUUACCACUCAAGUAGAACAAGUGCUUAAAGCUGAGAAUGAUUUGCUCAAUGAAUUAAAUAAUAAGAAAAACGAUAAUGCUGUUAGAGUUAUGAGUAGAGGGGGUAGAAUGACUCAGGAACCUUUGUAUCCUGAGGGCCACCCUAAGAGAAUUGAGCAAGAUUCUCAAAGAACUAAUGUUGAUGAACCUAGUCCUUCUAAAAAGAAGAAAAAGAAAAAUGAUAGGACUUUGCAUACUUCUAGUGAACUUAUUGUUGACACACCUGAGAAUCCCAAUGAUAUUUCUAUUUCUGAUGCUGAAACACAAUCUGGUAAUGAACAUGAACCUAGUGAUAAUAUUAAUGAUGAUGUGCAUGUUGAUGCUCAACCUAGCAAUAACAAUGAUGUAGAGAUUGAACCUGCUGUUGAUCUUGAUAACCCACAAUCAAAGAAUCAACGAUAUGAUAAGAGAGACUUUGUUGCUAGGAAGCACGGUAAAGAAAGAGAACCAUGGGUUCAGAAACCCGUGCCUUUUCCUCCUAAACCAUCCAAGAAAAAGGAUGAUGAGGAUUUUGAGUGCUUUACUGAAAUGAUUAGACCUAUCUUUUUGCGUAUGCGUUUGACUGAUAUGCUUAAAAUGAAUCCUUAUGCUAAGUAUAUGAAAGAUAUUGUUACAAAUAAAAGAAAGAUACCGGAAGCUGAAAUUUCUACCAUGCUCACCAAUUAUAAUUUUAAAGGUGGAAUACCGAAGAAACUUGGAGAUCUCGGAGUACCAACUAUACCAUGCUCCAUUAAAGGAAACUAUAUAAAAACUGCUUUAUGUGAUCUUGGAGCCGGUGUUAGUUUUAUGCCUCUCUCUUUAUAUCGUAGACUUGAUUUGAAUAAGUUGACACCUACUGAAAUAUCUUUCCAAAUGGCCGAUAAAUCAACUGCUAUACCUGUCGGUAUUUGUGAGGAUGUGCCUAUUGGGGUUGCAAAUGUUACUAUUUUAACGAACUUUGUUAUUCUCGUUAUUCCCGAGGACGAUAGUAUGUCGAUAUCCUUGGUAGACCCUUUUUGAAUACUGCAGGGGCUGUUAUUGAUUGCAACAAAGGCAAUGUCACUUUUCAUGUUAAUUGUAACGAGCAUACGGUAGACUUUCCGAGGAAACAACCUCAAGUCCAUAGUAUCAAUUCUAUUGGAAAAUUUUCAAUGAUUAUUAUUGGAGGUUUUGAAUUUUCUCUUCCUACUGUCAAGAAGAAAUAUGAUAUUCUUAUUGUUGGGGAUGUGCAUAUCCCCGUUGAGGUAACUUAGUGUUAUUCGAAAAUUCUCCGGUUUCAUGUUAUUCGGAAAGAGUUUGUUAACAAGACUUGAUCAACCUUGUUAGUGGAUUCCUUUUGAUGAGCAUGAGAUGGAUGAAGUUAGAAAGCACAACUCUCUGUACCCUCCUUUUACUUUCUGUUAUUUGGAUUAAAUAAAGCAAAAAUAGUAUUUUCUGUCUGUUUUCUGAAUUAUCCUUGCAAUAAAAAAUACCCUGAAAAUAAAAGUUCUCCAAAUGUCCUGAAAAUGAAAUAUGAUUUUUUGUAGAAUAUUUAAGUAUAUCUGGCACUGAGAACACACCAGGGGGAGCCACCACCUGGCCACGAUGGUCCAGGGCGCGCCCCCUGCCUCGUGGACCCUACGUGGCCCCCCUCCACUUAUUCUUGCACCCACACACUCCGUCUUCCUCCAGAAAAAAUCAUCCACCAGCUCAAACCCGAGUUCUAGCUCAUCUUGCUGCCAUUUUCGAUCUCCUUGCUCAAAGCUCCAUUCACAAAACUGUUUGGGAAGAUUGUUCUUUGGUAUGUGACUCCUCCAAUGGUCCAAUUAGUUUUUGUUCUAGUGCUUUAUUUAUUGUAAUUUUUGCUGCUUAGGUGACCUUGUUCUUGUGCUUGCAUGUCAAUUUAUAUGGUCAAAAGUAGUUUUAAUGCAUGAUAUGGCCUCUAGGCACUUGUGGGAGUAGUUGCUAUCAAUCUUGUUGAGUUUGGUUCACUUUUAUUUUGAGUCACUAAAAAUUUCAGAAAUUUUCAAUGGGAGAAAAUGUUGAAGAGAUUAUUGAGAGGCUCUUCGAGCCGAAGCUCGAAGGAUAAGCAAAGUGAAGAGAAUAAGAACCCCAAAUAUAAUCUUCCUCGCACCGCGGAGGUUCGGCCGUGUGAAUGGCCUUGUGAUGAGUUCUUGAGAGCCGCCGGAAUUUAUGACGAUUUUUAUUACUUGGCUGAGAAUGCAGGCCUCACCGACUUCCUCCACGACCAGCUCGAAUAGUAUCUCCUACUCACUAAUAUUUUUGUGCAAAAUUAUCAUUUCCAUGCUAGGAGAUCACCACCUUCAGUGGAUUUUUAUUUAUAUGAUGAGUUUAAGGAGAUGUCACUCUAUGAUUUUUGUGGGGUUUGCAAGUUGCCUUUUGAGGGCAGCGUCGAGGAACCACAUCCUAGGGAUGUGGCAGAAUUUAUUGCUAUGAUUGCUGUAGGGGAAACGAGAAAAGUGUCCGAUGCAAGAACUACUAGCAUACAUUUUCCUGUUCUACGUUACUAUGCAAUAUUUGCUAGUAGAUGUUUAAUUGGCCGCUGGAACAUUGGGGGCCUCAGUGCUCCUGACCUCGCCAUUUUGCGCCAUGCUUUACUCCGUGACAGAACUUUCAGUUUAGCUGCUAUGGUUGCUAAACGGUUGAGUCUAAACCGUACAAAGGGCCCCAUUUCUGGAGGUAUCUUUGCUUCGCGUCUUGCUAAAUAUUUUGAGAUACCUAUUAGACACUAUGAGAAAGAAGAAAAGGUGCAGCCCCCUAUUUUCUUAGACUAUAAAAGUAUGGUAGCACAUGAUUUUAUUUGCAAUGAUAAGGAGAAGAGACUCAUUUAUAACCUGGUAUUCAGUGAAAAGACUUGUCAGAUUAUUACCCUGUCUGCACCUUCUUUGUUUAACAUUCAUUCAGGCACAUACAUCAUCCUGCCCGAUGACAUUUAUGCAUAUUGGGAGCGAACACGAUCCCCAGAGCCCGAGCCAGAGCCAUCUCCUGACCCUUAUCGGCAGUCUGUUUAUCAGUGGGAUCCGGAGGAGAUCGCCAACCAGUGGCACCCAGAGGACACUCCUUCGUACACCGGAGAGAGCAGCUUUGAUCCAUGGGCAUAGGCCAACUUAGGCCAAAAGCCUAAGCUUGAGGGAGUAUGUAUUUCUCACCGACAUUACAUUCAUGUUCACACACUCAUUAUAGUUGUCGGUGCUCAUACUUUUUCAUUGUACUAUCCAUGCUAGUUUAUUUUCUUUUCUAGUUUUCUUCUUGUGUGUUUGAAAAACCUUAAGAAAAGAUAAAUAGUUGUAGCUUUUAGCUAGUUUACUUUCCAUGCCUGUAGUAGUAAUUAAAAGAAAACCCAAAAAUAUUUCUCGUUCUUCUUUUGCUUGUUGGGAGCUUUCCCGUGAAAAUAGUUUUAUUUCCUUUCUUUUCUUUGGGGGUCGAGAGGAGAAGACCUUGAUGAAAAUGUUGAAGUGGCUCUUAUAUGCAUUAUUGUUGAUUUAACAAAGAGCCCAUGUUACCUUGUCUUCUCCUGUGUAUUAAAUGCUUGCAGAUUCCAGCUUAGUCCAAUGCACGUGCACUAUUAUUAUUAUCCACACCGUUCGGUCAUGCAGGUGAAAGGCAAUAAUGACAAUAUAUGAUGGACUGAUUGAGAUGAGAGAAGCUAGUAUGAACUCGACCUAUCUUGUUUUUGUAAAUAUGAUUAGUUCAUUGUUCCUGAUUCAGCCUAUUAUGAAUGAAACAUGUUUGCAAUGACAAUUAGUGAUUAUAGUUGCUUAUGCCAUGCUUAAUUAGCUAGGAGUUUAUAAUGGUUUACCUUGCGUGCCAACAUGCUAUUAAAAUGGCUGUGAUGUGGUAUGAUAAGGUGGUAUCCUCCUUUGAACGAUUCGAGUAGCUUGACUUGGCACAUGUUCACACAUGUAGUUGAAACAAAAUCAACAUAGCCUCCAUGAUAUUUAUGUUCAUGGUGGAUUAUAUCCUACUCAUGCUUGCACUCAGUGUUGAUUAAUUUUAAUGCAUGUUCAUGACUGUUGUCGCUCUCUAGCUGGUCGCUUCCCAGUCUCUUUCUAGCCUUCACUUGUACUAAGCGGGAAUACUGCUUGUGCAUCCACUUCCAUAAACCCCAAAGUUAUUCCAUAUGAGUCCACCAUACCUUCCUAUAUGCGGUAUCUACCUGCCGUUCCAAGUAAAUUUGUAUGUGCCAAACUCUAAACCUUCAGAUGAAAUUCUGUUUUGUAUGCUCGAAUAGCUCAUGUAUCAACUAGGGCCGUCUGUAUCUUCCAUGCUAGGUGGGUUAUUCUCACGAGGAGUGGACUCCGCUCCUCACUCACGAGAAAAUGGCCGGUCACCAGGAUGCCCAGUCCCAUGCUCAAAUCAAAAUAAUUACAAACAGAACUCCCCCAGGACUGUUGUUAGUUGGAGGCACCCGUUGUUUCGCGCAAGCCAUGGAUUGAUGCUUGUUGGUGGUGGGGGAGUAUAAACUUUACCAUUCUGCUUGGGAACCGCCUAUAAUGUGUGUAUCAUGGAAGAUAUCGAGAUCUCUCGGUUGUUAUGUUGACAAUGAAAGUAUACCACUCCAAAUAUUAUUUAUCUCUGUUUCAAAAAUCGAGCUCUGGCACCUCUACAAAUCCUUGCUUCCCUCUGUGAAGGGCCUAUCUAUUUACUUUUAUGUUGAGUCAUCAUCCUCUUAUUAAAAAGCACCAGUUGGAGAGCACUAUUGUCAUUUGCAUGCAUUACUAUUAGUUUGCAUUGAGUAUGACUAUGACUGGAUCUCUUACCAUGAAUUACAAUGUUUAGUCAGUCCUUGAUCUUGAGAGGUGCUCUGCAUUUUUGUUUUGCGGUCUCAGAAAGGGCUAGCGAGAUACCAUCUUGUCAUAUCAUAUUAUGAUUGUUUUGAGAAAGUGUUGUCAUCCCAGAUUUAUUAUUAUUGCUUGCUAGCUGAUUAUGCCAUUGAUAUGAGUAAACAUGAGACCUAAGUGUUAUUGUGAAUAUGGUUAGUUCAUAAUCUUUGCUGAAAACUUGAAUGUUGGCUUUACAUAUUUACAACAACAAGAGCAAACAGAGUUUGUAAAAGUUUUUCUAUAUCACUUUCAGUUUAUCAGCUGAAUUGCUUGAGGACAAGCAAAUGUUUAAGCUUGGGGGAGUUGAUACGUCUCCAAUGUAUCUACUUUUCCAAACACUUUUUCCCUUGUUUUGGACUCUAACUUGCAUGCUUUGAAUGGAACUAACCCAGACUGACGCUGUUUUCAGCAUAAUUGCCAUGGUGUUAUUUUUGUGCAGAAAUAAAAGUUCUCGGAAUGACCUCACGGAGAAUAUUUUUGGAAUUAAUAAUAAAUAUUGGCGAAAGAAUCAACGCCAGGCGGCCCACACCCUGUCCACGAGGGUGGGGGCGCGCCCCCUGCCUCGUGGGUCCCCUGAGGCUCCACCGACCUCAACUCCAACUCUAUAUAUUCACGUUCGGGGAGAAAAAAAUCAGAGAGAAGGAUUCAUCGCGUUUUAGGAUACGGAGCCGCCGCCAAGCCCUAAUCUCUCUCGGGAGGGCUGAUCUGGAGUCCGUUCGGGGCUCCAGAGAGGGGAAUCUGUCGCCAUCGUCAUCAUCAACCUUCCUCCAUCACCAAUUUCAUGAUGCUCACCGCCGUGCGUGAGUAAUUCCAUCAUAGGCUUGCUGGACGGUGAUGGGUUGGAUGAGAUUUACCAUCUAUCGAGUUAGUUUUGUUAGGGUUUGAUCCCUAGUAUCCAUUAUGUUCUGAGAUUUGUGUUUCUAUGACUUUGCUAUGCUUAAUGCUUGUCACUAGGGCCCGAGUGCCAUGAUUUCAGAUCUGAACCUAUUAUGUUUUCAUGAAUAUAUGUGAGUUCUUGAUCCUAUCUUGCAAGUUAAUAGUCACCUACUAUGUGUUAUGAUCCGGCAACCCCAUAGUGACAAUAAUCGGGACCACUCCCGGUGAUGACCGUAGUUUGAGGAGUUCAUGUAUUCACUAAGUUUUAAUGCUUUGGUCCGGUACUCUAUUAAAAUUAGGCCUCCAAUAGGACCCCGCUGCCACGGGAGGGUAGGACAAAAGAUGUCAUGCAAGUUCUUUUCCAUAAGCACGUAUGACUAUAUUCGGAAUACAUGCCUACAUUACAUUGAUGAACUGGAGCUAGUUCUGUGUCACCCUAUGUUAUAACUGUUGCAUGAGGAAUCGCAUCCGACAUAAUUAUCCAUCACUGAUCCAAUGCUUACGAGCUUUUCAUAUAUUGAUCUUUGCUUAGUUACUUUACUGUUGCCACUGUUACAAUUACUACAAAACUACUAGUGUUACUUUUGCCACCGUUACCGUUACUUCCAUACUACUGUGCUACUAAAUACUUUGCUGCAGAUAUUAAGUCUUACAGGUGUGCUUGAAUUGACAACUCAACUAGUAAUACUUGAGAAUAUUCUUUGGCUCCCCUUGUCUCGAAUCAAUAAAUUUGGGUUGAAUACUCAACCCUCAAAAACUGUUGCGAUCCCCUAUACUUGUGGGUUAUCAAGACUAUUUUCUGGCGCCGUUGCCGGGGAGCAUAGCUGUAACAUCCCAAAUUUUCAAUUUGGAAUGUUAUAAUUAGGUCAUCCUAUGCAUAUCAUAUUUUAUUUGGAUUUUGGUUUUGAUCCUAGAAAUUCUAAGCAACUCAAGGACCCACGGAGAGAGUUGGGGAUUUCGUUUAUUUUCAUAUUUGAAUUUUCCUCAAAUAUUGAAAAGAGGAUCAUUUUGGUUUUAAUUAUUUUUCUCUCCGAAAUAUUUCAAUAUAAAAAUAAAUGAGAUGAGAUAAUAUGACUUCUCAAAAGAAAUAUUGGAGGAAAAAUGUUAAAAUCAAAUAAAUAAUUUUAUUUGGAUUUUAUUGCUAUUUUAUUUGAAUUAGAAAAAUAUGCAUUUUUUAAAAAAUUGCAUUUUAGGCCAAGAAAAUGUUCACUUUGUCCUAAAUAUUUUAUUUAGACGGUGAAAAUUAUUUUUGGCAUUUUUAGAAUUUUUUUAUAUUUAUUUAGGAUUUUUGUUUCGGCGGAAUUUUAUUAAAAAAAUAAAACUUCCUGGACCGAACUGGGCCAGCGGCCCAGCCGGCCCAGCACCGCGUCGCCCCCGACCCCGAGCCAGAGACCAACUCCCGCACGCCGCCGUCGCCACCUCGGACACCGCCGCCGCCUUGCCCCCUCCCCAAGCCACCCCUCCCCCCUCGACCCCUUUAAAAGCUGCCGUCCCGCC